rnacentral:lncRNA from 1 species
UUUUCUUCUUCUUCUUGUCUAAAUAUUUUUGUUAAAUUUUCUCUUAGCGUGUGUUUUUUGUUUUGUUUUAUUUCAUCUUUAAGUUUUAAUUUUUAGUUUAGGCAGUUAUUGAUUUUAUUUUAGUUAGCUAUUUAAAUUCUUGUUUAUUUUUGAAUUUUUGGAAGAAAAAAAUAUAAAAUAUAAAUUUUCGGUUACUAUUUGUGAAUUUUUCUUGCUAACCCUUGCAUUAGCUACUUUUAUAUGAUACUAAGAGGUUAAGUUCCAAAAGACCACUUGCUAUUUGAAGCAGAAAUUGAGAAGGUGGCAAAAGAGAAUCAAGAAGAUAAUAGAGAGGACUCUUCAACAUCUUCUUUUUCCAUUGAUAUUUUUCAGGAGAAUAACAACAUGGCGGGAAAGGAAACACCACCUCCUAGGAGAACUCUUGGAGAUUACGCCAUACAUCAAGGGCCCAGACACUUUUCUAGCAUUGUAGUGCCUGCAUCUACCAGGGUCUUAAAGAUGAAGUAUGCGUUCCUUACCCUCAUUAGUAUCAAUCAAUUAAUGACAAUGGAUAAUGAGGAUCCUCAUACACACUUGGCUAUUUUUUAUGAAUUGGUGGGAACUAUGGGUUUCUAGUCAGGUGAUCUUGAGAGUGUAUACAUGCGUUUAUUUCCUUUUUCUUUGGCAAGGAAAGCAAAUGAGUGGCAUCCUAAUCAGAGUUUAACCAGAUGGAAGGAUGUGGAGGAAAUUUUUUUGCAAAGAUUUUUCCCAAUCUCUCGUUACAUUAAAGCUAAGUCUAAAAUAUAUAUGUUGAGACAAGGAGCGGAGGAGUCUUUCUGUGAGACAUGGGAGAGAUUCAAGAGGAUGCUAAGAAAAUGUCCAAAUCAUGGGUUUGAAGACAUUGCUCAACUGAGCAUAUUUAUCAAUGAUCUCAGAUCUGAUACAAAAAUGCUCCUAGAUGCCGAUGCAGAUCAAGCAACAAGGAUUAUUGAAGCUUUGGCCACAACUAAUUAUCAAGCUCAACAUGAUAGACAAGGUCAUCAAAAGAGAGGAAUAUUGGAGUUUAAUACUGCAAAUGCAUUGCUCGCAAAAUAAAAUUCUGACAUAGCAGCUUGAGCAACUGAUCGCAUGGCCAAACUACCCCAGAAGUUGCAUGUUGUUCGAUCAUCCCAAAGUCAGAAUAUACCUAUCAGGUAUGAUUUUUGUGGAGGUGAUCAUCCUAAUGGUCACUGUUCUUAUCAGAUCAACUCACCUGAAGCUUAGGUAAAUUAUAUGGGAAAUCAAGGAAGGCAAGGCGGUUUUUCCAACAAUUAUUAUCAAGGUCGGAAAAAAAAUAAAAAUCAGAACUUUGGGUGGAAACAAGACUAUAAUUCAUCCAACAAGCAAGGGUCUUUCCAACAACCGCAUCAAUCCAAUUAUCCAUCCAUCCCCGACAGAAUGAGUAAAGUUGAAAAUGUUUAGUCAAAGAUUGUGAGCUCACAAGAAAAUAGCAUGGCCACGAUUAGGUGUAUGCAGACCCAGAUAGGACAGAUAGCCAAACAAAUGGCACAAAUUGCACAAAUUGUAGACGAAAAAAUUGGCCAAUUCUCAGCCAACACUUCAUCCAACCCUAAGGAGCAUUUUAAUAAAAUCACUACUGAGGGUGAUAAAAAAAUAAGAGAGUAAGAUGAUGAGAUGGUAAAAUUUGAGGAAGAAAAUGGAGAACAUAGAAAAGAGGGAGAAAAAUGUGAAGUUGUAGAGAGCAGAGUUUCAAAAGAAUUAUCUCAUUCUCCUAUGCAUGUAAAAAAAGAAAAGAAAUGAUUAUUUUAUGAUUUGCUUCCAAAAAAUUAUUUUGCAGGAUGGUUGGAGAAAAAUACAUUCUUUGAUUGAAUUAGAAGAAUAAUAUGUUGUUUUGAGGACAAAGAUAUAGAGCCGAAAGCUGGAAGCAGUUUUUUUGAAGCUAAAUGACUUGCCAAAGAAAUUCAGGGAUCCGGAGAGUUUCAAUAUUUUUGUGUCAAUUGGUGAUGUAUUUGUGGGUAAUGCCUUAUUGGAUUUGGGGUCAAGUAUAAAUUUGAUGCCACUAACCAUGUUAAGACAGAUAGGUGACUUGGAGGUUAAACCCACCAAGAUGUAGUUACAGUUGGCGGACAGGACGAUGAAGCACCCUUAUGGUGUAGUUGAAGAUGUCCUCAUGAAAGUAGACAAAUUCAUAUUUCUGAUGGAUUUUGUUAUCUUGGACAUGAAAGAAGAUGAGGAGGUCCCUUUGAUUCUCGGCAAACCUUUCAUGAAGACUGCUAAAGUCAUAGUGGAUGAAGAUAAAUGAGAACUUAGAGUAAGGUCUCAUGAUGAAGAGGUAAGAUUUAAUCUUUUUAAUGAUGUAACUAAUUGUAUUGCAAAUAAGAAUGGAGGGCAAGAGGAAAUUUCAAAAGAUGGUGACCAAAUAGAGGGCUCAAAGCCAAAGGAGAAAGUUACACGAUAUGAAAAGUUAAAGGCAAAAGGACACCAGAACAAUCAAGGGAAGCCAGUUGAGGAAGAGGAAUAUUGGUUAGGACAACCUAUUAUGCUUAACGCGGGUAGGGGGAAAGGAAUGAAGAAGACGAAGAAAUUUUAGGUCAUCGAGGAAUUAAAGAUGGACGGAAAAAUUGAAGUGGGAGAGUCGUAUUCAAGGAAAACGAAAGUGAUAACAAGAGCACUGGCCAAGCAGAAUAAUUUUCCCCCUUGAGAAAAACUUUUGUCAAGCUAUAUAACGUUAAAAGGGUGCUCACUGGGAGGCAACUUAAUCCACAUUUUAGUUUUAUGUUGUUUUGUUACCUUUGUUGAUUUUAUUUUUUCAAAAAUAUAAAUAAAUAAUUAAAAAUUAAAAUAAUAAUAAUAAUAAAAUAAAAAAUCUUAUAUGCCUCCUAAUAAUUUUGCAGGUUAUGUAUUUUGACCUAGGAACAGAUCCUAUUAUUCAAGGGGGCAGAUCUAGCAAAUGAAGCAAGACUGUAGAUAAAGAUUUUAACAAAAAGUUGGAUGACUUCUAAAGAAGAGAUGAUUGAGCAAAAAUAUGGUUUUAUCUUUUUAUUUCUCUUUUCUUUUCAAUUAUUUGAAUUUUUUUUUUCUGUUUAGUAUUUAUUUUAUUUUAUUUUUCAGUUAUUUUGUUUUAUGUUUAUUUUGCUUAUUUGUUUAGUUUGUUUUAAUUGCUUAUUUUGUAUUUUAAAUAAAUUUUCUGUUUUGGUAGUUUGUUAGUUUCAGGUCUUGAAUUAUUUUGAAUAAAUUUCAGUUUUAAUUUAAUUUGUUUUCUAGUUUUAUUUUUCUCAAAUAAAAAAAAGAACUACAAUAUUAAAUUUGAAUUUUGAAAAAGGAAUUUGUGUUUAAUUAUUAGAUAGUGGGAUGAAUUAGACACAAGUUAGAAAAGAAGAUAUGAUUGAAUCCCUAUUCAAAUGUAGUUGAAAUUAUAACAAGAUGAUUUAUUAGGACAGAGAAUGACAAGACAAAAAUGAAUGAGACCAAUCAAACCAAGUGAGUGUGUGAACCUUAAACAGUUUUGAGGGUUUUACUGAUGAAUUGACAGUUAUGGUUGCUUAAUUUUUAUUUUUGUUACAUCAUAAAAGAACAUGAAGAUGAUUCAAGCAUUUGUUUGUGUUAAUUAGGAACGCAGGGCCAAAUAGCCAACCUUUAUCUUAUUAGAAUCCCAUUUUUUUUUAUAUCCCCUUUGAGCCAAGAUUUUUUUUGUUAAUAUUGCACCUUACCCUUUAAUGAUAUAUCCUACCCUUUAGCAUGUUUGAGGAAGGAGAACAUAAAUGCAAUCAAUGUUAUCAAGCUCUAGGGUUAACUCGUAAACCCUUACGAGUUUAAGGGUUUGCUAAAGGGUCACGAGUCGACUCGAGAGUAAACUCGGUUUUGAGUAAACCUGGUGUAGACUCGGUCAGACUCGGUGAACUUGCGAGUUUGAGACUGAGUCACCGAGUUCUGAAAAAAAGAAGCCCAAAAUGGUGUUUCCUCGUUGUCAUUGUCACGCUGCUCGCGCAUCACCGCACCACGUUGUUCGCCGCCGUGCCUCGCGACGCCAUCGCACCUCGCCACACCUCACGAUGCCACCGCAUCUCUUCACACCCUGUGACGCCACCUAGCCACGCCGCUGCGCUUCGCGACGCCACCUCGCAUCAUAGGUAAUGCAACUGUUGUGGGUUUCAUGAUGUGGGGCAUUAGUUUUAGGGUUUAGGGUUCAACCAACCGAUCUCCCCUACCGCAACCGAACGUGCUAUGGAGGUCACCAUGUCACCCUUGGCGGUGUUGGGGAGUGACAUGCAAUUUGCACGAGGAGUGAAGGUUGCGCUGCCCGGGCCGACCCGGGAGGUCAUUCAAGCCAUUUCGAAGGUGAAUUUGCUGAAGGGUAGAGUGGAGAUGUUGUGUUGCGCCCUUGUCAUGGUUCAGUUGGGGUCUCAGGACCGAGAAAGCCAUACCGAGGAGAUAUCCCGGUUGGAGCUGUCCGAGCCUUCGGCCAGCUUAAAGCAAUCUCUUGCUGUCAACUCUGAGUAUGUGGAGAAGCUUGCUCGGGACGUUGCCGAGAAGGAGAAGGUUCAACAAGAGGCGGUUGAGGCUGAGCACCAGCGGCGGAAAUGGCGGCUGAGGUGGCUCGGUUGAAGAAGGUGGUGGUGGAAGGUGAAGGCAAGAUCUCGGUGCUAAAUGUCGAGGUCACUCGAUUGGAGGCUAUUAAGGAGGAGGUCGAGACGGAGCUGGAAAGCAACUUCGACCGGACCUUGGAGCUGCUCAAGCAGAGCUUCCUUUAGGCCGUCCGACAGGCCCAUGUGUUGUAUGGGGGCCGUCGAUGUAUGACAGCUCAAUCCUGAGAACGAGGUGUUCGAGGGUCAGAUCAUGCCGAGGGACGAGGCGAGGGCAUUGGCGGUCGCGACGAAGGAGCAGCCUGCACCGACGGGGGGAGCUGAAGGUGAUUACCAGUAGACUUAGGUUUUUAGUUGUUGUUCCCUUCGGUCGGGGUGUGGCUCUUUUGUACUUCUUCCUCCGAGGCCGGGGUGUGGCCUUCUCCCCAUCUUUUUAUUAAUGAAUCAGUCGUUUUCUUUGCAUAUUGUGAAUGGUCGAUCAGAUAAUUAAUUGAUUAAAGCGAAUUUAACAAGUUAAGUUAACGGUCAGUAACUUAUCUGAACAAUAGAUAAUUGAAUAAGUUAAAUAGGCGGUCAACCUUUGCUCGAAUCCUUUUAAGGUUUAGGCUUGGUUUUGAUGCAACCAAGGUUGUGAGGUGUUGGCAGGGUAUGCCGAUUAAGGCUUCAUCCGGACUGAACUGAGUGUGCAAGGUGUUGGAAGGGUAUGCCUAUUAAGGCUUCUUUCAGACCAAACCAAGUAGUGAGGUGUCGGUAGAGUAUGCCGAUUAAGGUUUCAUCCAGACUGAACCGAGUGUGCAAGGUGUUGGCUGGGUAUGCUUGUUAAGGCUUCAUCAAGACCAAACCAAGUUGUGAGGUGUCGGCAGAGUAUGUCGAUUAAGGCUAUAUCCAGACCGAACUAAUACUUGAGAUGUGCAAACUCAAAUUAUUAAUGAAGAGAACCGCCUCGUUAAAACCUUAAUGACCGAGAACCCUUCUUAGGGAAAAACGGUUGGGUCAGGAAAGAGUGUGUAAACUUUAUUAAUUUAACUGUAGUAGAAUUUGAGGUGUGUGGCAUUCCACGUCCUCCGUACAAUUUUACCCGAUAGCCACUCUAAAUGGUAUGCCCCCGCAGUUGCAACUUCUCGGAUUCUGAAGGGUCCUUCCCAAUUGGAUGAGAAUUUGCCUUCGUUUCUUCUUGCGUCGCUUCUUAUUCUCCAGACGAGAUCUCCUAUCUGGAAGCUCCUCAAUCGGACUUUGGUGUUGUAGCGUCUUGCCAUCCGAAGUUUGCAUGCUGCCUCUCAGAUCUUGCUUUUGUCGUGGAGCUCGUUGACAAAAUCAAGCUUGACCGACAGGCUUUCCUCAUUGAGGGUUAGGUCGAACAUCGUUCUUCGGAAGGUAGGCUCACCUACCUCGACCGAGAUCAUUGUUUCAAUCUCGUACGUCAGGCUGUAUGGUGUUUCUUGUGUGGUUGUCUAGGGGGGGUGCAUCGGUACGCCCAUAGGACUUCUAUCAAUUCUUCAUUCCAUCGACCCUUUGCCUUGUCGAGCUGCUUCUUCAGUUCAUUUAGGAUGACCUUGUUAGUAGCCUCAACCUGCCCGUUAGUUUUCGGGUGCUCGACCGAGGCUGAUGCUCGACGUACUGGACGGUAGGGGUCAUCCAAUUGUCGGUAUCAGUAUCGGUGAUCGCUAGGAAUUCAGUCUUUGAUACGCUAGGGUGCCUUAGCCAUAUAUGCAUGGCUGAUCUCUGGUGGUUCUUCUUCUUGGUUACCGAUAGUCGAGAUAGGACAUCGGCCUGCUUGUUCUCUUGCCUUGGGAUGUGUUCCACCGGUGCUUUCUCGAAACAGAAAAUGUUGUUACCAGCGGCGUGGUAGUACUGUUGUAGCAGAGGUUCUUUAACCUCGAAAUCUCCCUUGAUUUGGCCGACCAUAACUUGGGAGUCACUUUUGCAUGUUACUUCGUGAGCUCCCAUAUCAUAUGCUAGGGUUAGCCCGGCGAGUAGAGCCUCGUACUUGACCUGGUUAUUGGUGCCCUUGAAUCCGAAUUGGAGUGCUUACUCCAAUAGGAGGUCGUCCAGUCCUUCGAGGAUGACUCUUUCUCCACACGCAAUCUUGUUGGAGGAGUCGUCAACUUACAAUGUCCAUCCUGCCGAGAGGUCUGACAGAGGUGCGAGCUCGACUGAGAAGUCGGCCAGCCAUUGAGACUUGAUGGCGCCUCUCGGUUGGUACCAGAUGUUGAAUUCAGAGAGCUCAACUGACCAUCCUAUCAUUCAUCCUGCAAGGUCGGGUUUAGAUAAAAUUUUAAAAAUGGGAUAGUCAGUCCUUACCAGUGGUUUUGGAAAUAGGGGUGCAUCCGCCUUGUCGUUAGGACGAGGGCAAAAGCAACUUUCUCUAUCAUCUGAUAUCUUGUUUUGGCCGCAUGAAGCGUUCGGCUGACAAAGUAUACCAACCAUUCUUCCCCCUCUACUUCCUGCACUAACGCGACACUGACCGCUUCUUCCGAGACCGCUAGAUACACUAGUAUAGGCUGAUCAAAUCUCGCCUUCUGAAUGACUGUCAGUGACGAUAGGAAGUCCUUCAACCAUUUGAAGAUCUCUUCACACUUUUCAUCCCAACUGAACUUGGCUGCUUUGCGGAGUAGUUGUACCAUCGGUCUCGUUCGCUUGGCCAGGCGGGGUACGAAUCUAGAGAGGGUCAUGAAGCGCCCUAGGAGUUGCUACACCUCCUUUAUGUUUGGCUUGGUGACUAUGACGACAUUGGCCAACCAGGUUGUGUACCGGGCCUCGCAGAUAAACCCAGCCGACAGGAGCUUUUGGGCUUCCUCUUUAGCUGCAAGACAUUUCUCGACGCCAUAAUCCUUCUUCUUCUUCUGCGCGAUCAUUCGCGCUUCCUUAAAUACCGACAACUUGUGAGUGAUAAUGUCCAGACUUAACCUCGGCAUGUCGGAUGGGGUCCACGCGAACAAAUCUACAUUACUUUUCAGCGUGGCGUGCAUUAGAUUGGCCUCAGCGGUUGCAAUGGUCGUGCCGACGCUGAUCUUGUGCUCCUCGUCGAGGAGGGACACCCGACGCAACUCUUCCCUAGCUUCCAACCUGUCUUCAGUCGUUCAGGGAUCUAGGUUCACCAGAGCGACUGUAGGUAUUGGUAGUGUUGGUUGGGUUUUUUUGGGAGAACCGUGCCUCCGAGAAGAUUUGCGUUUAGGGGAGCGAUCAUCCCUCAAAGGCUCCACCGUAAGACUCUCGGCGUAACAUUUCUCGCCACCUUUUGGUUAACAUGGACCGUGAGGAUGUCUCUUGACGGCAAAGGGAACUUCAUCGCCAGGUGGGGUGUUGACACGAUGGCCAUCAGCCAGUUGAUAGAUGGUCGUCCAAUGAGGAUGUUAUAGGAAGUGUUUGCAUCAAUCACCAAGUAUCAGAUCUUGAUGGUUUUACAAUUAUUUUCCUUGCCAAAGGUGGUAUAAAGCUCAAUGUAGCCUUUAAUACCCACCCUUUCGCUCGAGAAACCGACUACAUGCCAUUUCGGCCUCGGGUAUCCUCAUAGCUUUGAAGGUCUUCCAAUAGAGGAUGUCUACUGAACUUCCCUGGUCCACUAGCGUUUUCCUUAUGGUGAACCUGUCGGUAUCGAGCGAUAUCACCAUAGGAUCGUCUUGCCAAUAGUCAACACCUUUGAAGUCAUCGUCAGUGAAGAUGAUGGGCGACAUCCUCAGUCAUAAUGACACCGCGUUCACCUCCUGCACCGCAUGAAGGUGCUUCUUCCGGGCGUUGUUGGUGCUUCCCCCACGGGCAAAUCCGUCGAUGAUUGUGUUGAUGACUUCUCGGUUCCCCCUGCUCUCGGUUUCUCGUGAGGGAUCGUCUCUUUGUGGAGGGUCAUCCCUCCUUUACCGUCGCUUGGGAGGUCGGUCGUCUCGUAGCCUUGGUGAUGGCAUUUUCAUGAAGUUCUUCUUGAAUCAAUGUAGAGUAUGGGGCGGAAGCAAUGUAUGAGAGUGAGCAAGAUCCUCCUAAGAGUGGUGUUGAUCUUGUAGGUGCAUGAUAAGUGUGGGUAUUGAGUGGUUCGGCCAGCUCAAGGGAAAAGAUGAAGGAAUUGAAGUUUAGAGCCUAGGAUUCUAGGGAGAAGCAAAGUUGAGCACAAAUUGGCAACAUAACUUUACUCACAAUAAACUUGAAAAUACAAGGUGUAGGCUCCUCCUUUUAUAGGCUAAGGAGGACCAUAAUGCAACCCUAAUGCUAGCCAAAUGAAAUGUAAAUGUGAAGCACAUGGGUGCACAUGGCACAUGGGUGCACAAAUGAGCACAUGGGGAGGGGUGUGUCUAGUUUUUAUGCUCACCCCCUCCAUGGGCUUUCUAGACCGGCCUUGGUAAAUUUAGAGGUUUUUUUAGAAACUCUAAGUUUACCUAGGAUGGUGUUUUAGGUGCCAAAAUUAAUUCUAAGAAAAUUACAAAUAAAGUUCCUAUGCUAAUUUUGACAAGAAAUUAAAGUCUACUCUACACUAGAGUUUAUGGCAUUUGAACAUGUAAAAGAACGUCUUCUUGGAUUCUCUUGGCCAUAACUCUAUGGUUGGCCCAAAUCUACCCUUUGGUGGGCUUGCAUGUGGGCUUGUGUUUGGGCCUCUUCCAUCACUUGGGGUGAAUGUAUUCGCUUUGCGGGCUCGUCUCUGCAGGGAAAGUACCUCGUACCUCGGCUUCCCCAAACGAACCGCGCAGGUGCCCUGCUUGGAUGAGUUCUUCGAUUUUAUCCUUUAAAGCUUGAAAUUCUUAAGUAGAAUGCCUGUUGUUCUGAUCAUAUCGACACCGUUUUCCUCUGUCGGCAUUAUCUGAGCUUGCUACCUUUCUAGGGGGAGGGAUCAACUUGACGUUGAGUGCCUCGUAGAAUUCUUCCCCUCUCAACCGUCAAAGGGUAUACUUAGAGAACCGGUUUCCCCAACUGUCUCUACGUCUGUCGCCACGAUGGCUCGAUCGACCUUGGCGCUCCUUCUCCUCCUUUCCUUUCUCACCAAUGGCUUCUGCCCGGGCUUGGUUACGAAAUUCCCUCAGCUCCUCCAGUUGCAUGAAUUUAGCUGCUAUUUUCCUGAGCUCGUCUAAGCUAGCGGCCAACUACAUAUAGAGAUUUUUGGAAAAGGGUCCCAGUCGCAGGGUCGUUAGCAUAUGGUGCAUGGCAACAUCCGGACUAAGGUUCUGGAUGCUCAUUGCCACCUUGUUGAACCUGUCGACGAAUGUUCUCAGAGAUUCUCCCUUCUCCUGGCGAAUGCCCACCAGGGUGAUGGAGGUCAAGUGAUGUGGUCGGCUAGUGGCGAACUAGGUCUCGAACUUCGAUAUGAUUGUUGCGAAGCUGUCGGCGGAAUUGGUUGAGAGUUUGGUGAACCAACUAAGGGUUCCUCCCUUCAGGGACGUUCGGAACACUCAGCACAACACCGCAUCAUCCGACGUGUAGAGACUCAUAUGGGUGGUGUACGCGUCCAUAUGCUCGUCCGGUUCAGUUGUGCCAUCAUACUGAUCCCUAUUGAGGCCCUUCCACUUGUCCGGUAGUGGAGCUUCUAUGAUGACGUUGGUGAAGGAGUGUCGACGAACCAAAUCAAAGGUAUCAUUCGUCCUGGCUGACUUGUUGAGACUGGAGUCACCAUCCAUCUCAUGGAUGGGAGCCUUGUCCUUGGUCUCCUCAACCGCUCUCGGGUUGGGAGGGGAGGUGAAUGACCUACUGACUACGUUCAUCGGCCCAACGGAUGAUCCUCCCUCCACCAACUUCUUCCUCAUGUCCUCAUUUUUCAUGCGGAGAGCCUAUAUUUCCUGCUCGUUUUUCCUAGUGACUUCUUCAUUUUUUUUCUUCAUCUCGACCAUUUCUCUCUGCAGAGACAACAACAACGCCAUCCGGUCGGCUUCGCUCAUCCUCUCCAUGCUUCGGGUUAAUACCAUCUACUAUUGCUUCUUCAAUUGAUUUCUCUCGACCCCACGGUGGGCGCCAAUUGUUCAUGCUAGGGGGAUGAGACCUAAAGAACUAUUGAAAAGCUUCGUCUUCUUCCUUCUUAUCAGGCGAUCGGUCUAUGCUUCAGGUUCCUCUUCUAAGCUUCUCACUACUCCUUUAGUCUCGGUUGUUCGAUCACUCGGUCUUCUAGAGAAUACCGGGGGAGGGGGGGGGGUUACCUACAGAAGGCACUCUGACGCUCAAGUCAACAAAGGGGGUUCGGUACUUGGUUGUCAGAGCACAGUAAUAAACGUACCUGCUUCUUGGAAUGUGUGUUAUUUAAUGAGCCUACCUUGUUGGAUCGGAUUAUUGAGGUGAAUCGUGUUUAGAGGUGUAUUACCUAGUUCUUAAUGAUGACUUAGCUUCACUUACUUUGAUUGAGUGUAAUUGGACCAAAGAUGUCGACCCACACGGACGUGGAACAUUUAGUCGGUUCAAUUGUAGGAACUGAGACAUGAUAUUAAUCGCUCGUUCCAUAUCAUUACAGGAAAAAAAUUUGAUAAUAAUUAAAGAGAAGAAUGUUUUUACAUAUAGUUAGAGAUAAAAUGCAGCAUUACGUUACUAAAUUGAAUCGUGCACCUAAAAAUCAUCUUAUUAUAUUAAUUUAAAAUCUUUUUUAUUAUUUAACUAUUUUUUUUUUCUUAAUUUAAAAUAUUUUUUUCUUAAACUAACUAGAGUUUAUUAUAUUUAAGGAUUAAAAAAGAAAAUUUAAAAAACAGGAAUAUAAAAAAAUUACAGAAAACAAAAUCAGAUACGAUUUAUAUUUAUCUUUAAUUCUGUAUUUAUAAAUAAAUUAAGUCGCUUUUAAUAAGAAAAAAACUUAAGCUAUUCAACUCUAACUAUUGUUAUCUUAAAAUUUGAUCUGAUCGUUAACUGUGAAUUCCUUAAUUGACAUUAAUUAAAAUAGUUAUUUUAUAGUGUUGACCCGGUUAAGGCGUAUAACUUUUCCUAUUAACUUUUUUAUUAUUUUCUUCUUUUUCAUUUAAUAAAUAAUUUUAAAAAAAUUACAUUCGCUGUCAAUCAGUGUUGGAUCGCAACAUUUAUCUUUUAUUUGGGUAGUUAAUUGUGUUCCAUAAACAAAAAAAAUUCAGAAAAAGUAAGAUUAAGUUAAUUAUUAUUUUAAAUUAAAAUCAAUAUAUACACUUUCAAUUUUAGGGUGGUAAGAUUUUCUCUUUAUGAAAAUAGUGUGCUAAACUUUAAUUUUGUGUCAUUUGAUUUUCUUCAGGGAAUAUCAAUUUCAUAAACCUUAACUUUCAUAUGAUUUGUCUUUAAUUUUUUUUUCAUAGUCACGUUGAUUUUUAAUUAUUUAAAAAAAAUCUUAGAUAUUUUUUUUUUUAAUUACAAUUAGAAUACUCACUUAAAAGAAAGUGUAAUUCAUCUUAAAUAUUAAUAGUUACAACUCAUUUUUUAUAUUUACGUAUAAUGAGAACAUGGAUUUAGAAAAUAUAAAAGGGAGGAAUAAUAUAGUUAAUAAAAAAUAUAGUUUAUUUUUAAUUCUUAGUUUAUUAAAUUUUAAUGUUUUGAUUAAUUAAAUAGAAGUUAAAAUAAAUAAACAACUGAGUUCUUAGUUAUAGUGUGUGAUAUCACCCUACUUAAUAUACGAACUAUAUUUGAAAUUGUGAUAAUUUUGAAGAAAUAAUUAAUGUAAAAUUGAAAUAUUAGUGUCUAUGUGAAAAAAAAGUAUCUUUAAAUUCAAGGUGUCUAUUUAAAAAAAAUAAAGUAUUGAAUUGAUAAAAAAAAAUUAGAAUGCUUAUUUGUAAAAAAUAAAGUUUAAAAGAAUCAAAUACUUUCUUUUUAAAUUUUAUGAAAAAAUUAUUUAAUUUUACAAAAAUAAAAUUCAUGAAUUGAUUUAACUUGUGAAAAAAUUAUAAUUUUUUUCUUAUAAAUAUAUGAAUAAGUUUAUCCAGAUAAAAUAGUUAGCUUUAAUGAUUUGACUAUAUAAGAAACGUAGUAGUGUUUAAUAGAUUUGGGGUAAAUGAAAAUUAAAACUUAAUAUUUCUAGAAGGUCAAAUCGAAGGAAAAAUAAUAAUCAGCAUACACGAUUCCUUUUGUUUUAAGAUUUGAUUUAUUGUGUUGGAUUAAGCAAUGUUUUUGCUCUGUUAAAAAAAAUGUGAUGAAACAUACACCUCAUGUAAUACUAAGACUCGUAAUUUAAAUUUUUAUUUAAUUGGGAAAAUAUACAACCAAAGCAGUGGGGUUACACACCAACCAAACCACAGAUUCAUAGCACUUCAAUAACCAACCACACACCACAAUUUUCUCUCACUUUUUUUUUUCACUCAUAAUGCAGAUCACAAGAAAGAAAGAAAGAAAAGCAGAAGUCACAGCCCUCACUGCUAUGGUCACAUACACCUGCAUCAGACAAGGAGGAAAAUAAAUCAGAACAUAUAACCUUAGUAAUCAUGUUCUGCCAUACACCUAUAUAGAAAGAAAAAUGUUUCUUUCACACUCUUUCAAAAAAUUACAUUCAUUUAACAAUUUAUAGGCUAAAAAUGAUAGCUCAACACACAGGGUGUCAUUGUGCUAAAAUGUAUAAUUUCCUUAGAUCAAAGUAACAGAAGAAAACAAGAUCAGAAAUUUCCUAAUUCAUAAUCAUGUUCCAAACACCAAAGAAUAAAAUCAUGGAGAAUAUUGAUAGAGCAGAGACAAGAUAACAAAAGAAGAGUUCACCUUAAUUAUAGCUUAACAUAUAUAUAUAUAUAUAUAUAUAUAUAUAUAUAUAUAUAUAUAUAUAUAUAUAUAGGUGUAGAUAUAUAUAUAUAUAUAUUUGUAUUGCUGCUGCUGCUGGCGGGGGCGCGCGCGCGAGUGCGCGAGAGCGUGAGCUUCUUCUUCUUCUCGCCCUCAGCACCUUCACCGUGGAUCUUGUCCUUGAUCUUCUCUACGAACCCUUGUUUGUGCUCUUCUCCAUGGUGUUCUGGCUUGUGCUCCCCUUUGUGCUCACCAUGGUACUCUCCUUUGUGUUCACCAUGGUGCUCUCCUUUGUACUCACUAUGUUCACCAUGGUGCUCCCCUUUGUGCUCCUCCUCCUUCUUGUGCCCUCCCACAUGAAGGGUCUCCCCAAUCUUGUGAAUGAUUCCUGACAUUGUCUCUCUUUCACUUAGCUUCUUCCGGUUUUGGUUUUGGUUUUUGUUUUGGUUUUGCUGUGUUCUUACCCCAAGAGAUGAACGGUAUUUAUAGGAAGAAAGUCAGGUAUAAAGGAAAAAAAAAUGCUAUCCAUCAUUGAAAUUACUGGAAUGACCAUCAACGUGUUCUUUGCGUGUAUUCGUUUAUAACUAUUUUGUUUACUGAUAAAAAAAUAUAGAAUCAUAUAUACCUCACAUGAUUUUCUUUUUUAUAUACUUGUGACAGCUGUAAUGUUAUGUAAUUUCAAGAUCAAUACGAAUAUGAUGUUUUACUUAUACUUUUAAAUGGAAAAGCAGUUAUAUUUGAUUCAAGAAAAUAUAACAGAAACAAAUUAAUGAGAGGUGUGAAAUUAAAGUAUGAAUGAUGAAUUAAUAAGAGAAGGAGCAAACACGUGUCGAGUGGUUAAGGGCUGAGACAAUUGUGUCGCUAAUAUUUGUGCAUUUGUAACCUAACUGUAGCUUUUCUGGUGUAAUACGGAACCUAUUGAGAGAAACAUCCUAUGCUUACUAAUUGAAGAGACAAAGAAAUAAAUCUUAAAGUUGGGAUGUGGCAAUGUAUUAUGCAAAUCAUGACAAUGUCUGUCCAAAAUUUAGGUUAGGUACAUUCAAUCAGAUAUUAUUAUAUAUUUCUAGUCAUUAACCCUGCAUUCUAGAUUCUACUUUCAGAACAAUUUCUAUCUAUUUUUUAUUUCUUUAUUUUCAAAAUCAAAAGCAUGGAAAAUCUUACAACUCAAUGGGUUUUUUUCUUUCCUGUAAAUAGUCUAAUUUCAUUUGAUAUUUUCUGUGAAAUAAAAACAAAAAUUAUUCUGGAAUUAGACAAGUCCUACUUAACCCAUUUCAAAAAAUACACAUUAUUUGGAGAAAAAAAUCAGUCAAUGAUGUAGCCCCCCCAAAGAGAAAAAGAGGUAUGUAUGAGGACAUAAUUUAGUCCAAAUCCAUAAUAUGAUUCCCUUUGUUCUUAGUCCUCUAAAACAAAAAUAAAUCAAAGAAUAAAUUGCAAUUUUAGUAAUUAUGUGAUACCUUUUCUUUUCUCAAUUUGAAUCUCCUAAUUUUAAAAAAAUUGUAACUUUAGCUAAUUAUGAGUUAUGCACACACUUUAUCUUUAUUUCAAUUAAUCAAAUGUUUCAAUUGUAAUUUAAAUAAAACUUUAAGUUUAGAUAUGAAUUGUAUCAAAAAAAAAAAGAAGAUUGAAUUCACAUUAUUUUGUUAAAAAAUUAGAAGAGAGUACACUAUUAUUUAACCCAAACUAAAGUAUAGAGGAUAAAAGAGUAAAAAGAAUGGUAGUUUGAGAAGAAUAAAUGAAUAAAGAAAGAAAAAUGAUUGUAUUAUUUGAAAAAUAGUUUAAAGCAUGAUGGAUGAAAUAGGGUAGCGUGGAAUAGGGGAGAAGGUGACCCACCGACCAUUAUGGGCCAUAAAUGAAAGAUCCAAAAGAGGAUAAGAAGGGCCCACUUUCCGUAUCUGAAGAAGAGAAAGUAGAAAACAACGUUAUUCCCACUAUCUUUUUCUUUCUGUUACCGACUUUAAUUUAAAAUACAAUUUUUUAACGAUAAUCCCUUAAUUCAACUUUUAAUAUCUUAUAAAUUUAAAUAUUUUAAUAAAUUUUACACAAAAAGAUGUUACUCAAUCAAGAAAGAGUAAGUUAGUCAACAAGUUUAAUACUAAGUAACGACUUAUUAAGAGCAAAAUUCAAUUACUUAAAUAAAAAUGAAAAUAUAUAUAUUCAAUAAAAAAUUUAAUAUUUAAUUUAAAUUAAAAAUGCAAGAAGUAAAAAUGAGAUGAUAAUAUUUUUGUUAGAAGUUUUUUUCCAUAAAUGUUGUAAGAAAUUAGCUAAGAAUUAUAAGUACUCAUUUAAAAAUACAGCUGAUAAAUAGAUUUUAAUAAUAUUCGAUAGUUGAUAGCUAUUUUUGAAGCGAAUCCGUUUUUUUGUCUCAUUGGUUUUGAAGAUGACGCGUGGAUGGUUAUAAACCUGCCGACACCGUUGAAUGGAACCGCCCCUGACAGUUUUGUUCAGUUUUUGAGAAAUAAAUAAUAAUAAUAAACUUUUAACGUAAGAAAAAUUAAAUCGUACCCAAUUCUCAAGGCUGUAUCAGAUAUUUUAUUUUACCAAACCUAAAUAUAUUUAAACAUUAAAAUAGAUCUAACGUUAUUAAAAUAGUGUUUAUUGGGUUCCAAAUAUUAAGUAAAACUAAAUUAACUCCAUUAAUAAUUAUUUGAAUUAGGUCAAUGGGUACUCCACAUAAUAAAAAGGUCGUUUUUUUUACAAUUUUAAAAAAAUAUUUUUUUCUUAUUAAUUAUUUUGAUUAUGUAUAGAUUCUUUUUGUAAUUCUAUGAAAAAUAAAACACAAAAAGUUAACUUAUCAUUAUGUUGUAUUUAUUUUAUCAUAAAUUAACUCAUAAUUUAUAAAGAUAUUUUUAUUCACUAUAUAUUUUGACUCAUCCUUUUGUUGUUCUAUUCAAACAAUUUUUAGAUAAAAAUUAUUUAUUUCUAAGAAUUAAUUAUUUAAAAAAGUGUUUUUCCUUUUAUACAAAAUGCUGACAGUUGAAUAUAUAAUAAGUUGACCAAUGAAAAAAAUGGAUAAAACUCUUAAAUAUGACAUGGAAAUAUAGAAAUUAUAAAAAGAAAUUGUCAUGUACACUAUGUUUUAAGAACUUUGCCUUAGAUCAAUCUAGCUCAAAAAAAAAAGACGUUAAAACCUAUAAAUGAGUUAUCUAGUAAAAAAGCUCUAAAUAAUGUGUAGGGAAGAAGACUAAAAACAACAAAAUGAUUACUUGUACAAAAUAAAUAAAAAUAUUGUGAAUGUUUAUUAACUAUUAAAAAACUAGAUUAAGAAAAAAAAACUAGUUAAUAUGAAAGAAUUCAUAUUAAAAAGGAAAUGCAUUCAUUUGUUGUACGAGCUUGCAGUAUAAAGCAACCCACUCGUUUCAAAAGCAAAUUGGUAUCAUGAUUUUCACAAACCUGUCCAGUCAACUAAGACCAUCUUGACCAUCACCUAAUUUUGUUGUUGUAAAUUAUGAAAAUAAUAAUAAUAUUUUUUGUUAAUUUCAUUCUAUUAUUUUAAAUCUUUUUAAUUUGAUUUCAUUUUAAUUAAUAUAAAUUUUUCAGAAAAUUAGAAAUAGUACCAUCUAAUAUUUAUUUUUCAUAUUAUGUGUUAUUUUUGUUAAUAAGUCACAUGUCACGUCUAUUAUUAUUAUUAUGACAGAUUAAAAGUGACUAUGUUAAUUCAUUUAAAAAAGUAAAAUUAAAUUGAAAAUGUUUAAAAUAAUAAGAUUAAAUUAAAAAAAACAUUUAAAAAAUUAUUAAAUAAAGAAAAUUAUAUAUGUAUGAUAUUCUUUUAGGGCAAAUAAUAAUGAAAAAUUAUAUAUGCAUUAUCUUCUAUUAGGACAAAUAGGAUGCGUUUGGUGGUUUCUUAUGUGUAGUUUUGUCCUCAAAGAAAAAAAGUGAUUUUCUUCUUCCCAAAUUGGUGAGGUAAAGCAAUGUAGAUCACCUUAAUCGGUAAUGUGAAUAUAAUAGCUUACAAAGUCUCCUAUUUGAUUUGCGUGUACAUUGCUUAAUUUGUAGUUGAUUUACAUCACAUAGGCGGAAAGUUAUUUGUAGUAGAUUUUGUUGCAUAGUAUCUUGGAAAUGAGUUUCACUACAUCAAACUUUAUAAGUUAGGUGUGUAAGACUAUAUAUCAUGGAUGAUCCGAUAACGGAUUGAUAGUAUGUGACAUGAUAAGUCCAACAAACAAUCGCUAGGAUAGGAAAUGACUCUGAUAUCAUAUUGAAAAUUGGACUUUAAGUUUAACUCAACUUCAUAAAAUCAACUUAUAAGGUGAGGUUUGCACCUACUUAUAUAUUAUGAAAUGUCCUAAUCUUUAAUUGAUCUGGGAUCUCCAACAAUAAUUAAACUUAGUGUCAUCAUUGGAUACACUACGUAAGGAAACAAAUGUGAGUAAAUUGUCAUCAUGGGGACACUACCUGGGAAACAAAUAUUAUUGUUGCCUAGACCAACAGUAAAUGUAAUAAAAUAUUAUUAAUUUUUGCAUCCACUUUGUGUUCUCAUUCUCUACGCAUUAUCAUUCUGCGAUUUAUUUUUUAAUUGUCUCUACUUUGUAUCUCCAUUCUAGACGCUAACUUAUUAUUAUUUUAAUAAUUUAGUGUGAGUUAAAGGUCUUCACUGUUGACACAAUAUUUGACAUUUAUUUUUGUGUCCAACUUGAGUAGACUUCACUCUUAUUAGUGACUUCUUUUUUAUAGUCUUCGUUUUUUGUUGACAACUAAAAUGAAUUUUUCUUAUAGUGCCUUAAGUGAAAAAAAUAUAAAAUAUGAGUUUUUUUAAGCUUAAAAUUUAUUAUCAUUAAAAUAAAGUUGAAUUUGAGUUUCUUAAAAAUAAUAUACUAUUAUGAUAAGAUAAACCGUAUUACAUAAACUACGAAAAAUGAUUUAAAAAAGGAAAACUAUACUUUCACGUAUAUUAGGAAAAAUAUAUAACUUUAUAAUUAAAUUUGAUAGUUUUAAAAAAAUAUAAUGUGGGAGGUGGUCCUGAUACUGCUACACUAAUCACUACAAGAAAAACGCGAAUUACAUACAGAUUAAAUUCCGUAUGUAAAUAUUAGCACCAUAAAAGAAAAAAUUACCAGUGAAUGGGAUUCAAAGCCAGGUUCCUUCAGCAAUCCUUCAACAACCAAGUAAAAUUUAACCACUACACCAAGCAAAUUCUUUAAUUUUAUUAUGAUUUUUAUUAUACUUAUUAUUAUUAAUAAUACUAACAAUACUAACAAUAUUAAUAAUACUAACAAUACUAACAAUAUUAAUAAUACUAACAAUACUAACAAUAUUAAUAAUACUAACAACACUAACAAUAUUAAUAAUACUAACAAUAUUAAUAAUACUAACAAUAUUAAUAAUAUUAAUAAUACUAACAAUAUUAAUAAUAUUAAUAAUACUAACAAUAUUAAUAAUAUUAAUAAUACUAACAAUAUUAAUAAUAUUAAUAAUAUUAACAAUACUAACAAUAUUAAUAAUAUUAAUAAUACUAACAAUACUAACAAUAUUAAUAAUAUUAAUAAUACUAACAAUACUAACAAUAUUAAUAAUAUUAAUAAUACUAACAAUACUAACAAUAUUAAUAAUAUUAAUAAUACUAACAAUAUUAAUAAUACUAAUAAUACUAACAAUAUUAAUAAUACUAACAAUACUAACAAUAUUAAUAAUACUAACAAUAUUAACAAUAUUAAUAAUACUAACAAUAUUAAUAAUACUAACAAUAAUAAUAAUACUAACAAUAUUAAUGAUACUAACAAUAUUAACAUAUGAAUCACAUUUAAUUUAUCUAUAAUCUACUUGAAUCUAAACAUAAUUUAUUAUAUUAUCUAUUAGUAUGAAUCAAAUUUAAUAUAUGUCAUACUCAUAGUCAUCAUAUUACCUAUUACAUUAAAAUCAGCUAUUAUAUUAAUUAUUAUUUUACGAUCAUAUUGACUUAAUUAAGUUCAUAAUAGGUAGUUGGUUUUACUUGUGUGUUAUAGUAAAGAAUAUUGUCAACAAACAAUAUUAUCUUUUAACAUAAAAUGAUGACUUUUACAUUAACUAUUAAUUAAAUCUCUAAUACAGAUUACUAGUUAGCAUAUCAUUAUAGUUUAAACUAUAUUAAUUAUUCCAUAAAUCUAUGUAAAAGGUUGUUACUAAAUAACCCUUUCUACUAAUAUAUAAUAUAAAAUCAUAAUGACAAAGUGAUUAAAUAAUUUAUAAUUUAAAAUAUUUUAAAAAUUAUACAUUAUAUCAAUUUUAAUCUAUGUAAGUAAAUAUUUGAAAAUAAGAUUUUUUUUAUCGACAAAGAAUAAAAAAAAUUAAACAAAACACUUUAAGGAUAUUUCAAUCCUUAUACAAGAAUCUCAAAUUAGAAAAGAAGUGUAAGAUACAAGCACCUAUAUAGCCAUCUAACAAAAACUUCACAACUACCUAUAAUAACCUAUAUUUGAAAAUAAGAUAUCAAAUAAUUUUAUAUUAAUAUAUAUAUAUAUAUAUAUAUAUAAUAUGAAAGUAAAUUUAAAUUUAACCAUGAGUUUUAAAAAAUUAAUGAUUAAAUAAAGAAAUAUAUUAAUCAAUAUAUAUGUAUUUAUAGUAUUAAAUUUAUAUUAAUAUUAUAUAAUUUAUUUUAUUAUUAUUAAUUAUAUUAAUAUGUAUAAAUUAUAUUAAUAUGUAUAAGUAUAAUAAAAAUGAUAAUAUGACCAAAGAACUUGUCUGGUCUAGUGGUCAAUGCUUCCCUUGGUCACUGGAAAGACUUGGGUUUGAAUCCUGGCUGCUUCAGUUUGCUUGUAACAUUAUUUGGGUCUUGGUUUCGAGUUCUAUGGGCUUGGGUUUGAGUCUUAGCCAGUGUAAAAUCCAGGAAAACUGCUAAGGCAUUUCUAUCCAAAAAGUCGCAAUGAAGGUCUCUUAUUUUUUUUUUUUUGGAAUGUCGGAGGACGGACAAACCACUAAAUUAUGGAGAUGUUGUUUAAUUUACUUAAACUGCAUAAACCUCUUCUUGUUUUUCUUGUUGAACCUAUGAUGUCGUACACCGAUGUUUUAGAUGUUUUUUUUUUUAAAUCUGUUAAUCGACAUUUGGUUGCUACGUCUCCUAUCAUUAAUAAAGUUGCUAAGCUUUGGUGUUUGUCGGUUCCAAAUCUUGUCCAAAAUUUCUUGGUCAAUGAUCAAUUUAUUUUUGUAACUUGUCUUCUGCAUGAUAAAUGCUUUAGCUUUAGAGGUGUUUAUGGUGCUAACACAUACUUGGUUAUACGACUUUUGUGGAGGGAUCUUAAUUUCUUCAAGAUUUCAAUGUAUUUUAGGAGAUUUUAAUGUUGUACUCUCGACUGAUGAUUGCAAAGGGGGGUGACUCCAAAUCAGGUUUCUUGUAAUGAAUUCCUUGAUUAGAUUAAUACUAAUGAUCUGACUUGUAUGUCUUUUACUAGACCUUGUUAUACUUUGUGUAAUGGGAGGAAAGGGUUACACAAAAUUCAUAGAAAACUAGAUAGGGCUAUAUGUAAUGGAGUGUUCCUGGAUGAAUGAGAUUCUUGUACUUAUCAGGUUCUUGUUAAAAAAGAUUCUGACCAUUCCCCUAUUCUUGCUAGUAAUUUUUUAAGGAAGGUUAACAAUUUUUGUUUCUUUUCGAUGUGGCUUCAGAAUAGUUCAUGUAUGAAGCUUAUUCAUGAUUUUUGCGCUAAUACGGUUGUUGAUUGUCCUAUGUUUAUUUUGCAACAUAAGUUAAAAAUGUUGAAAAUUGAGUUCCGAGCUUGGAAUAAAAAUUCUUUUGGUAAUGUUCACAAUGCAAUGCUUCUUAAGUAGAGUCUCCUCCUUGGUAUUCAACAAACCUUAGAGACUGCUAGUUUGUCUGAUAUAUUGAUGGACUUCUCUAUCAAGAAAAGAUUGCUAAGGAUGAACUUUAUCAUGCUCUUCACUGUCAAUAUUUGUUUUGGAAAGAAAAGGUCAGGAUGCUCUAGUUUAAAGAUGAGGAUAAAAAUACUGUUUUUUUUUCCAUGUUGUGGUUAAGAGGAGAAAUAAAUCUAGUGACACUCAUCGCGUACGGAUUGAUAAUGAGGUUAUUGAGGAUCAUCAACUCAUUAAGGAUAAUAUUUUGGAUUUUUAUAAAAAUCUUUACGCUGAGUUUGUUUCUAAUGAUCAUGAUAUAGGUAAUGUGAAAGAUUUUAUUGGUAAUUAUAUUCUUGAGUUGGUUUCCUCUUAGGAGAAUAUGAUGUUGAUUAAAUGCCCUAAUUAUUUGAAAAUCAAGAAUAUUAUUUUUAAUCUUAAUGGUAAUAAUGCUCUUAGUCUUGAUGAUUUUAGAGGUGUUUUCUAUCAUUCUUGUUGGGAAAUUAUUGGGAAAGAUGUUUGCAAAGCUGUUCAACAAUUUUUUAAACAAAACUGGGUUCUUUCUGAAAUGAACAACAACGUGGUAUCUCUUAUUCCUAAGAUCCAGGGUGCUGAAUCCAUUAAAGAUUACAGACCGAUUGUUGUUGCUAAUUUCAAAUUUAAGAUUAUUUCCAAAAUACUUGCGAAUAGGCUUGCAAUUGUGGCUGCUAGAAUCAUUUCUCCUAAUCAAUGUGGGUUUGUGCAGGGUAGACAAAUUCAAGAUUGUAUUGGUAUUGCUUAUGAAGCUAUUAACAUACUUUCUAAAAAGGUUAGAGGAGGGAAUUUGACUUACAAAGUUGAUAUUCAUAAAGCAUUUGACACUCUGAGUUGGAAGUCUUUAUUACUAGUUUUGACAUGCUUUGGUUUUCAUCCCUUGUUUGUCGGUUGGAUUAGUACAAUUCUUCAUUCAGCUAUGCUUUCUAUCAGGAGAAAUGGUAGUUUGGUGGGUUUUUUCCAUUGUCUCCUUUACUUUUCUGUCUUGUAGAGGAAGUUCUCAGUAGAGGUAUUCCUAAGCUUGUGAAUGAUAAGAAGAUUCUGCAUAUGGUUAGUCUGCAAGGUUAUGUCACUCCCUCUCAUAUUUUAUAUGUUGAUGACAUAUCUGUUUUCUAGAGGACGAAUAAUAAAUCUCUUAGAAAUUUGAGUCUUUUCUUAGAAUAUAUGGAUAUUUUUCGGGUCAAUAUGUUAAUAAUUCUAAGAGUAGUUUUUUCACCAUGGAUAAUUCUGCAAGAUUUGUCACCAAAAUUCAACGUCUUCUUUCUUGUAGUCAUGGUUGCUUACCUUUUACUUAUUUAGGAGUACCUAUUUUUGUUGGUGCUCCAAAGUGAUGAUUUCUUCAACCUUUGGUUGAUAAAGGCAAAUUGAAGCUAGCAUCUUGGAAAGGUAAAUAUCGUAGCAUGAAGGGUCAAAUUCAGUUGGUUAAUACGAUGAUUACUGAAUUUUUAGUUUAUAGCUUUAAUAUGUAUAACUGGUCUGUUUCCCUUACAGUUGAGCAGUGGUGUAGAAAUUUUAUUUGGACUAGUGAUAUUCUGAAAAAAGGUAUAACUAUAGUUAAUUGGGCUACGAUUUGUACUUCUCUUGAGAAUUGAGGUUUUAAGAUUAUUAAUAUUCAUCAUGAAAAUAAUGUGUAUCUUCUUAAGCUUGCUUGGAACGUUGCUUAUAGUAACAAGUUUUGGUAUUUUCUCCUAAAAGCCAGAGUUCUUAAAUCAAAAUACAAGUUUUGAAUGGUUUAUUGAUCCUCGUCUCUUUGGCCUAGAAUUAAGCAGUUUUAUGCUACUAUACUUGAUAAUACUUCUUGGACUAUUGGUAUAGGUACUUUUAUUAAUUUUUGGAAUGAUAAAUGGUGUUCUACUACUUCUUUAGCUAACAUUGUAGGGCUAUCUGAUAGUGCUAGCAUUCUGAAUACAGUCUCUCAGUUUUGGACUGGUUGUGAUUGGAAUAUUCCCUUGUCUUUACAGCAGAUGCCUCAUUUUUUUAAUCAUAUCAUGGUUACGGAGGUACAAGAUAUUCCUAAUUGGAUUUUGAUGAGUUUGGUCGUUUCACUCCUAAAUCGAUUAGGACUUUUUUCUUGGAACCAGGAGUUCUUUGUGGUUAGGGUAAAUUCAUUUGGUCUUCAUAUAUUCCACCUUUCAAAACUCUAGUACUGUGAAAAGUUUUUCAUAGCCGACUUCCUAUAGAUCAUCAUAUUCAGCAUAAAAGUUUGCACAUAUGUUUUAUGUGUGUACACUUUGUGAAAAGAACGAGAAAUCUAUUCAACAUUUAUUUUUUGAAAUGUUCUAAUGUUUUGCAUAUUUGGAGUUGGGUUAGGCAAAUUUUUCUUACUCCUUAGUUCUCUAAUAAGGAAAAUCUUCUUUCUUUUAUUAAGAGUGACGAUAGUUCUUUGGUUAAAUUGCUUAAGCUUGUUGUGAUAACUUUUUUUAUUUGGAUGAUAUAGCGUAUGAAGAAUUAUACUAGAUUUCAGGAUAAGAUUGAUGUUUCUCGGGCUAUUUCGAUAAUUAAAGAUUUAACUUGUCUCGUGGAAAAUUCGUUUAAAGCUUCAAUGAAGAAUGAUAUGUUGGAUUUCAGCGUCAUUAAAUGUUUUGGUAUUAAUACUCGUACUGGUAAAGUUCUUUGUCAUCUUCCUGUUAGAUGGAAGUCCCCUUUUUUAGAGUGGGUUAAAACUAACACUGAUGGAGUUGCUAAGAGAUAUCUAGUCUUAUUGUGGAAGUAUGAGAGAGUUUAUUGGGGUUUCUCUGCAUUUCUUAAUGUUCAGACUGCUUUGGUUGCUGAGUUUUAUGGAGUUAUAUAUGAUCUGGACGAAGUUCAAAAGAUGGAAUUUACUAAUGUAUGGCUUGAAUGUGAUUCUACAUUGGUUUGAGCUACGUUCACUGUUAGGACUAUUCCGUAGAGGCUUCAUAAUCAAUGAAAUACUUGUCUUAAUUAUUAUGGAAAAAUCAGGUUUAAGGUUAUUUAUAUUUUUCGUGAAGGGAAUGCGUGUGUUGAUAAGUUGGCUAGUUUAAGAUUUAUUCAUAGAUAAUCAUUUUACUGGUAUAAUAGGCUCUCUUCUAGUCUUUUUCUAAAAUUCUUUAUAAAUAUGUAUAGUCUACCUAUCAUUUUCUUUAACAUACGAGUUUUGGUAUAGUCUUUUUGUAUUUCUUUUAAUAAUAUUUUGUUUAUAUGAUAGUAGAUGAUUGUUGUUACUGGUUACGUAGUAAUACCUAUAAUUUAAAAAAAAUUAUAAUUAAAUAAUAUAUAAAAUUUUAAAAUAAUAUUAUUAUUGAUUGUAAAGUAGAUGUUGAAAAAUGAUUGGAUGUGAAAGUAUGAACAUGUUUGAAAAACUCUAAAGUUUCUAUUGGGAACGCAUAUAGAAAUGUCUUUUAAAGUUAGGUUUUAUAAUGAUGUUGCAAAAUCCAUCUCUAAUUGAUCUACCUAAUCUAUAUUACAACACAUGCAAAUCAAAGACUAUAUUUUAUCAUGUGAAAUAAUUAAUAAAAUAAUAAAUGGUCAAAUCAUUAUUAACUAAUUCAGUUUGUGUGAGAUAUAUUUUAAUUUAAUAACAUUGUACAUGGUUUAUAUGCAUUUAUUAAUCUCAAAAACCGUAUAUUAAUGCUCACAUUGAACCAACCAAAUGAACUAUAUAUAAUCUAAUAACAAUGUACAUGGUUUAUAUGUUUUUAUAGUUUUAGUACCUUAUCCAUUAGUAUAAUCUGAGUUAAAAAAUCCUAAAACUAAGUUAUUGUGUAAGAAUCUAGGAGCCAUUUACCCCAUUUGGAAACUAUCUUAGGUCUCUUGUAGUUUAAUAAAAUGUAAACAGUUUAAUAAAAUGUAAACUAUCCUGUUAAUCAAUUUUCAAUUUUGUUUUUAUCUAUUUAAUUAUCCAAAUCUGUUCAACAUCCCCAUUAUGUCUAAAGAAAGAAGAAUAAUAAAGGAAAAGUGAUAAAAAAACUUAAAUUGAUUGGAUUAGAAAAAUUAUGACCUUUUUAACAAUAUUUGAGUAUAGCAGGAUUCAGCAAAACUGAUUGAAAUCUUUAUUAAACUAACCAAGUGUGACAUGGUAAUACUUUAUAUAGUUUUCAAUUCAUAUGCCAUAGAAGUUUAUUUAUUUAUACUUUUAUUUUCACUUUUCAGAGUCUUUUCUAUUGCUAUGUACAGUAAUCAGUUCCCCUUGUAAAAAGGGUGUUGCAGAAGAAAGGCUACAUAAUCUAAUAAGCAAGGGUGUGAUGAGGAGUGUUAGAAUCAUCGUCUACUACACGAAUAGGAACUAUUGGUAUUGCAUCCCACCAUUCCCUCAACCUUCUAUUCCCUGUUUCAGAGGGCUUUCCUAAUGUCAUAGUGAAGCUUUGGAUAAUGAGACCCAUAAGGAAGAAUUUGAAUGGAAUCACUGCCAAUAAGAUCGCCAACGCACCCAUAGCCACCAUCACUAAUUUUGCAUGCUGAAAAAGAAACAAGGAUAUGUAUGUAGUAAGCAAAAGCAACCACAAAUUGUAUGUCAUAUGCACAAAUGAGGCAAACAUAUUUGAAGAACAACUCUACCUUAUCAGCCUUUGAAAUAAGUAUUGACCAUAUCUUUAGCAUUGCUAUGUUUGCUAUCUGCAUCAUCUCAUGAACAGUGUACAAUCCUUGCUGGGCUGAGACAAUGCUCUCCAUCGUAGACUGAUCAGAAGACAUACUAGAUCUACUGAUUACUAUCUCGUUGCAUUUCUCAUAAGUCUUGUUUUUUCUUGCCUCAAUCAUCUUUCUUAUUGCCCAAAUCAACAAACCUGCAAAUGCCUUGCCAACCCAUUCCCUGUCAUCAUUAUCCAGGCCAUGUUACAUACUUCCAUUCUAGGGGUAGUUUUGAUUGGUAUAUAUAUAACAAAAAUUAACAAGUUAAGAAAUAAGAACUUACAUAUAGGUGAUCAUAAGGGAUGCAGCAAGAACAACAAGAGUAAGUAAUGGCCUUUCCCAUGAGAAGAUUUGUCGAAACCAAGGGACCACAAUUUUGAGUGGCUUCAGGAGUUCCUGUACAAAGAAAUCAGAAAACUAAUAUUAGGUCUAAACUGCAAACAUGCGAACCUUUGUUUCCAUUCCAGGACCAUCCUGAAAUCUGAUUCUCAAAUGAAGAGUUUAUGACAAAGAAUAAGGCAAUCUUUUACUAUAUCAUAGCCUACAACAUAAAAAUGUUGACCAUGAACUUCACAUUUCCCAAAGUAUAAAGAAAUUUAUGGAAAGACAUUAUAAUAUACUUUCUGCACUCAGAAACAACUCCAUUUUGGACAAUCAAGUGCUACUACUGCUUACUAGAGUUCAGCAAUUGAGGAUAAUUAGGGGCUUUGUUUAGGCUAAACUAAAUCCUUACCGUUAUAACCAAAACACUGUCAAUAACUCCUUCCUCCUUUAACUCUUCAGUGGUAGCUUUAGCAAUGAGAAUUUCCCUUUCUUCCUCCCUAGCUUGUUGGAUAGCGGUUUCCAAUGUAGGACUUCCGUCUACAUCAUAAACACUUUCAUCUGCUUGUCUUGCCUCAUCUGUUAUUACAUCAGAAACUAUUGUCUUAGAAAUGUUCAUACUACUAAGAAUGGAACUUGCACUACAAGACUGGCUAUUGUUGCUUUUAUUGAGGCUAUCCGCGAGCUCUUCCAGCACAAAAUCUCCUUUUGGUAUCUCGUUAUAUAGGGAAAAUAUUAAGAAUUUGGUAGGGACAGGAGGUGAUAUUCUUAGCAUUUCUCUUGCUGCAUGCAGCCUGAUGAUUCCCAACAUUGUCCUUGAAUGCAUCUCCCACGUCUGUGCUGGGUUUUUUAUCUGGUACUUGCAUAAAAACUUGUGGAGAAAGAUUAUUUCCCUUACUAGAGCAAGCCAAUGAUCACGUCUUGUAGAACUUGUAAGCUCUGGAAACUCCAGUACAACUGUCUCUGAUCUAGAAAUUUGUAAAGAAAAACUUAUUCACGUUAAUGACAAAAGUGAAGAUUAUAUAUAUUUCUGUAAUCAUAUUACAUUAAGGUGGUACUAACAAAUUUAAGCAGAACAAGGAUAUGACUAUGUCAAAGCUAUAAAAAUUAAUAAACCACACUAAAAAAUGUUAGACAGCUACCAAUCUGUUGCUGAGUUCACAAGUUCUUAGUUCAGACCAUCUUUAAAGGCAUCAGAUGUAGAAUUCACAAACUCUACGAUUCUUCAGGAAAUGUGUUCAUUUAAAAUUCAAGGACAAAAUUGAUCAUUUAUCCAAAAUAUAUAUAUUACGAAGAUUGAAUCGGUACUACAUAUUUUAAUGGACAAAACUGUAGAAUAGGUACUGAUGAUUAAUAAAAAGUGGUAUGCUAGUGUCCUUACAAAUCAGCUGAAUCAUAGGCUAUGGCUUUGUCAUAAAGAUGAGCUCCCCAAGGACCAGUGGCAGCAGGAUUAACACUCUGCUCAACAUUCUUGGAGAGGUCUAUUUUGAGAGCAUCUUCAUACUUGAUUACUCCGGAAGCCUCAAAGUAAAGAGAGUAAUUGGUCAGGGUAAGCCUGCCUGCCAAUUAAAACCAAAGCAACAUUUACAUUUUUUAUGAAUGCUUUUUACAAAUUCCAGAACAUUAUUAAAUGAAUGAUUAGAUAGAGCAAGCAGCUGACCAGGCCAACUUGUUGUUCCAAUGUGGCGAACUACUCUCUGACUCACGACUGUUCCAUCUACAUGUAAUAUAUAUUCAUCCUCAGCCAGUUCCACCCCAUUUGGUUUUGCCUGUUUCUGCAAAUGCCGUAUGCACCUAUGGAAUCAUGAAUUUAAAAAUGAAUCAUAACAAGAACUUGAACUUAUAAUGCACAACUAACUUCUGCUUUUAUGUGUCUUCUUCCUAAUAUGCUACUCUAACUUUCUCAUUUCUACUCAGUAGACUCAAACUCAUUCUUAACAAUUUGGAUAAUUCAUAUCUUGCAUAUCUUAUAUGUUCACCUAUCAAAUAAUCUAAUAUAGCUAUCAAGUUCUAAAUCAGAGAUAUUGAUAAACAGUAUUCCAAACGAAGCCUAAAAGGCAUCAGAUGAUUUUCCUAGCUAUUAUACUAAUGGACUCCAAAUGCUUGCAAAUGGACCAGGAAAAAAUAAAUUCAUAAGAUCAAUGCAUUACUUUUUCAUUUCUUUCAAGAACUUGUCGUAUGCUGGAAAAUGUAGCCUGUAGCCUGUCGAUGCUGUUAGAGUUUCAAAAGUAAACCUUCCAUUUGCUACAUCUGCAACUAAUGGUACUAAGGAUCCCAACCAUACAAAUGCAUCUUCUCCAACAUUGGGCUCAUCAUUAACCUGGCCAAUGGUUUAUGAAUUAUGAUACGAAAACAAAAUUUACCAAGAGAUCACUUCAUUUGAAAAUAUCUAAACUCCUAAAACCAUAAAUAUUUUGUUUACUUCUAUCAAAUUGGCUUGGUUCAAAUGCAAGAAAUAUUAUCCAUUCUUUUUAUAUAGACUAUUCAUAAACUAAUUUCAGUUUCAUUCAUUUAGAGGACAAGACCUGCAGAAGGCUGGAAUUCAAACUGAUUCUUCAAACAAAGGUAGGGUGGGGGUGAAGCUUAUAAAUCCACCAUCUCUAUGAUAAGUACAAGGAGAAAGGAUGGUCUUACAAGGAGGGGCAUGAUGUCUGAAUAGAAGAGAGGGAUAUCAUCCUGUUCUUCAGUGGUAUUCUUAGUUAUCUUCUUUUCUUCUUUCGUUUCUUCUUUCGUUUCUUCUUUCUCCUUUGCUAUUGACUCCUGCAAACCUCAAAAGCCUCAUCGGAUUAAUAGCAUGAGUAGAAACAAAAACAAUAACCUUAGUUCAGAUCAAACAGGACAUAUCCUAGGCCAUCAAUGACCCAUAAUUUGAAGCCCUACUUUAGUUAGUAAAUGUAAAAUCACAUGUCUUAUAUCAAGAGAAUUUGGUAAAUACAAAUACAUUCUGGAACUGAUAUCCAAACUUUCAUUACUAAGAUACCUGAAGCAUAAAACCAGUCAACCACUGCAAUAUAAUCUCGGUCCCUAAUAAAACUUAUCAAAUAUCUAAAAUUUUUCCAUUUUAAUAGCUUAUGUUAGUUUAGUGUUUACAUUAUAACAAAACACAGUAAAAAAAAACUAUUCUGUAAGCAUUAUUCCUUUAAUUAAAGAUGAGUAUCGCUGAAAUGAAAAGCCAAUUUUUAUCUUGGUUGGAAUUGGUAUUACCGUAUGCUCUUCUUCCAAGGAGCUAGGUCUCUCCCAGGCAAGCAUCAUGUCAUAUGUCAACCUGCUAAAUGAGCCAUCAUUGAUGUUUCCCUCUAUGUUGUGGCGCAUUUCAUUCACAGCCUUCCCACUGCAAAAUUCAACUAAUUUUAUGCAGUAGUCUCCCAUUUCAGGUUUCCAUCCUCCUUCAAAAUCUUCCACCAAAGUCUCUACCGAAGUAUCCAAUUUCCUAAGUACCAAAAAGGAAAAAUAGUUAGCAUUUCAUGAUGACAUUUUUUUUGGUAACCAUGGCACCGUCGAGAACUUGCCUGUGACUGCACUUAUGAUUUAUUUCAAAACACAAUGUCUAAUCAUUGUUGAAAUCAAUAAUUUACACUGUUAGAGAUCUGCCUGUACUAAAUGUGAAAAUGUGGAUAUAGGUUCAUAAGUAGUAUGAUUCUGGACCACGGUAAUACAAAAUGGUAGUAACCAAUCUUGGUGACAUUUCAUGAUGAUCUACCACAAAACUAGAACAUGGAAUUAACACUUUAUCAAGAUAUUUCCAAUCUCUAGGAAAACAACUACACAACAUGGAGAAAGUAAAAGAACAAAAUACAACUCCUCUUUCUCAAAAGAAAUAACACAUUACAUAGUUGUCCUGUGAUUCUAACAACCUCGUAUAAGAUUAUUACUAUGAUUAGCAAAUAGUAUGUAGGAGGGUGUAGGAGUAGAGAGAGAUUACUGUGCACAUCUAUGGAUGACGUCCUCCGCAAUGGAAGACACAUACUUGAGUUUCAUAGCCAUAACCUGUGUCGGGGUUUUUCCUUCUAAAGUUCUCUUCUCUUCUCUCUCUCUAACUCUUUCAGUGUGUAAAAUAAGGUGAAUGCAAAGAGGCACCGAAAAUCUAAAGGUUUGAUCUAAUAGUAAUAGAAAAGAGGGUGAUUCGUGGACAUGUUCAUCAUUUGCCACGUUGCAAUGACCAUGCAACGCAAGCAUGCAACACUUGGUUCUUCUUCUGCGUCAUUAUCCAUCUUCGUUCUCGUGUAGCGGUGCUACGCAAAAGAGAAGAGAUUCAUAAGAUGAUAGAGAUAAAGAAAGCUUUUGAACGUUUUUCGUAUAUCUAGAUGGAAAAACAAUUAAGGUUUAUUUCAAAACAAAACAUAAAUGAUGCAAGCAACUCGAAAUUUCAAGAACUUUAAUUUUCUUAAUUUCAAUGAUUAAUAAGAACUGGAUUAUUACAAUAUUUUCUUAAAGCACAUGCAUCAAAGUUGUUUAUGAGGUAUUUUAAACUAGUUAUGAUUUUGUUUUACUGUAAGGACGAUAAACAUGACAAAUUUUAUAUACGAACAAAUUUAUUUUAUUUUUACAAAAAGAAAAAAAAACACUACAAGAAAUUUGAUUUUAAAAACUAAUUUACUGAUACCUAAAAAUGAUAAGAUAAUAAAAUUAAUCAGUAUUUUAAUUAAAGACUAAUUAAAAAUAUAUCAGUAAGUGACUAAAAUAUUGAGAUCUAAAGUUAGAUUCUGAUUCAGUCCCUGAAUUAUUUUGUACCACAUCUUCUAGAAAUAUAUUUAAAAUUGAUAAAAAAAUUCUAUUUAUUUUUAAAAUUUAACCUUUAGUAAGUAUUUUAAUUUUAAUUUCCGUUUAUAAAUAAAAUAUUCAAAUAACUUUGAGGCAAUGGUAUGUGAUCCAUUUUUAUUUUGAGGACAUAAUAAUAUCUUUAUUAAAUAUUUAAUUUUAAAAAAUAGAUCUUUAGAUAAAAAUUGGUUAUAUAUUAAAAAUUUAAAAUAUAUUUAAGCUUCAACAAACUAAUUCAAUGUAAUAAAACUCUGAAAAAAGAAUUAAAGACAAAAAAAAUAAUAAAUAAAAAAUUUAACAAAAUAAAUAUAUACACUAAUUUUUUAAUUAGUUAGAUUCAAAAAUUAGUUAGACUUUGAAUUUAAUCAUAUGAUAAAAAUUAACAUUUCAAAUCUAUUCCUAGCAUUCAAAUAUAUUAAGCAUUAUUAUUUGGGUUAGAAACAUAGAAGUACUUUCCAGUCAAAUCUAAGGAUCUAGAUCAAAGAAACGAACAUUACAAACAAAAUGACAAUACCAAUCAUCAAUCAAAAACAUAAUAUUAUAUAUAAAUAUCACCUUAAUGUAUAAGAGUUUGAACAAAUUACUCUUAAUCCCAAAGGGUAGAAUUAGUCAUUCAAGUUGCCUAUUAGAAGUAGGGGGAGUAAGAAAAGAAGAUCCUGGAUGUUUCUCCUUAACGACUACGUCCUCUAGGUUUUCUAACACCUUUUAUUCUCCCAAUUGGAUUCCAAUCCACUCAAUGAUCUUCAGGGUUGUACCUCAAGCCUCAUAUUUAACCUAGUUGGGCUUGGGCUAAGUGACUUCUCGCUAGGGCGUUAUUGGGCUCGCUUGGGUGAGUUGUCGAAAAAAGGUCCAACGUCACUAGAGUGAUCUCGCCUGGGCGAGAUUGGACUCGCUUGGACGAGAUCCUAUGAGAGGUUCUAGCUUGGGCAAGUUUGGACGAGCUUGGGUGAGAGCUGGUGUGUUCUAGCUUCCCCUUUUUAGCUUUGUAUAUUUCUCCUUUUGCCCUUUCAUCUUCAUUCUUCUCUAAAAUCCUGAAAUUAACACAAAUUUGGGAAUAAAUCGUUCUAAUUCAAAUUAUAAACAAAAAAUAUAUAAAAAUGUAUAAAUUCAUAAAUUAGGGGUUAUAUUAUGGUUAUUUUAUCAAUUAAUAUCCAUAAGUGCCUGUAUUUUAAUAUGAAGUAUUACUUAAAUCUGGUACUUAUCAACUCCACUCAACUUAGAAUCUUGCUUGACUUCAAACAAAGUAAAUGAAUAUAUUUGAAUUUUUACCGACCAGUCCUCGGACUUGGGCGUUGACCAAAGUCAUGGUGGGGCCCCGAAGGCUGGGUCCACUAGGAGCCUGGCAGGACAGGACAGAGUCUCAGUAAGCUCACGGAUAAGGGCAACCGAGGAGGGGGCGGCAUCAAGGUAAGGCGUGGAGGCUUCGGGCCUCGGUAACCCAAAAGUAAAGAUGGACAGAGGAAGGUGGUUUCCAAGCCACACUCCAGUUAUUAGUAAGGGAGAGACCUAGAUCACCAAGCGCCCAUGCAUGGGGUGUGGACGACACGGUGGGGUGUGCCACAAUCAAAGAGCCACUGGGAAAGAGACGACUCGUAAGGGUCACGUCCCAGGGGUGAUCUGCAUGCAUGGCACGUGAAUAAGGCAGGGAACUCCCAAAGCGGCUGACCCAGAGAUUGGGGGCAUGAGUUGGCACUCAAGUGGUCAUCCUGCGCCAGUUGCACUUCGGUAAGGGAGUCUUAACACUAAGGAUGAAACGGUGAUGGUUCACGCAUUCAGAAAGGGGAUUUGUCCAGGGCCUUUCAGUGAAUCACUCAUCAGGAGUCGCCCCAAAACCUUUGCUGAGAUAAGGCGUCGAGCGGUGGCUCACAUUGCAGCAGAAGGGGAGAUGAAUGAGAAGCACGCAUGUGUUGUUCCCACGCGCUUGCGAGCACCGGUGCGUGCGCAACCUAUGAGAGUGCAUGAGGUUGCAACAAAGAAGAGAGCCCCCACGAAGAAGCAGCCUUACGAGCCUAGGAAGCCUCAGACUAGGGGGCGCGCAAGAGAGAAUAAGCCUGUAAGGCAUAGUUUCGUGGUAGAGGUGAAGGAUUUGAUCGCUGUGCCCAACAUAGCAGAGAGGUUGAAGAUGCCGCCCAAGACUGACAAGAAGCUGGGACCUCACAAGGAGGCUUGGUGUGAGUUUCACCAGGCGUUUGGUCAUCCCAUACGCAACUACUUGGCAUUGGGACACCAGUUGGACGAGCUGGUGAAGAGUGGGUUCCUAAACGAAAACCUGGCGAAGCCGCAAAGGGCUGAGACAUCAGUAACGUCAGGUGAGGACCAAGGGCACGAGAUGCCCGUACAUGGAGAGAUCCACACCAUCUCGGGGGUUUCUCAGGUGGAGGGUGCACUGCUUCUUAGUGCAUGAGGUAUGCACGAUCGGUUAUGUCAGUAGAGGCGCAAGCGGUGAAUGAGGUGCUCGACGUCGACCUUACGUUCACGAAGGCCGAUCUUCGAGACGUUGUCCCUCAUGACAACGACCCUGUGGUGAUUUCUGUUGUAACCGCGGGAGGAAGGUGCACCGAGUGCUAGUAGACCAAGGUAGCUUGACGGAUGUCAUGUUUUGGUCCACCUCUAACAAGCUGCAGCUGUCUCCCGACCAGUUCAGACCUUAUUGUUAGAAAAAAUGGCUUUAAACUAGAGGGGGGGGGUGAAUGGUUUAAAGGGGUUUUCGCAAACUUUUCAAAGCGAGAAUGAACUUAUUUCAGAAACCAAUUGAUUCAGCAAUUUAGUUAGCCAAAACAGCAAGCAAAACUGUAAUACUAGGAAAAGCAAUCGGUUGUUUCUUCGAAACAAUCGGUUGUUUAUACCAGCAAACAACAAACAAACUGAAUUUAAAGAGUUAAGGAUACAGAGAUUGUACACAGUUGUUUAUACUGCUUCACUCCAAACCAGAGCUACAUCCAGUCUUCUCAGAAACCCUGAGGAUAUCCACUAAGCAAUCACCACUUGAUCACUUACACCACAACCAAGAGAAUGAUCUUGAACACCUCAAGAAACACACUUUCCUUGGCCAACACUAAGAUUGCUGAUCUUGAACACCUCAAGAACACACAGCAAAUCUCAGCAACACACACAAACAAAUUGUUCAGCAGUUUACAAAGAUUACAUUUGUUACAGAUGAAUAUCUGAAAUCAAUACAAGUAAAAUCCUUAUACAACACCUUGAUCAAUCUCUCAACUCUUUAGCAAUCUCAGAAUAUUUUGAAAAACUCUUAGAUGAAAAACUUUGUUUCAAGAUUCUUAAUAUAUCAAAACUGUUUUUUAGAAUAUAUAUAUAAGAAUAUAGUUUGUUAUCUGAUCCUGCCUGUUGACUGGAACGCUGGAAACUGCCUCGUCAAAGGAUCGACGUGUGCACCGCUUCGAACCUCCGUUCCUCUUCGAGAUCUACCUCAAGAACCUGCAAAGAAACAGAGCGGCGCCGCUGCGGCCGAUCGCACUCCAACGCCCAAGUCAGUGACGGUAUCACCAAAUACUAAGAGAACAAGAACCGUGCAAAUCCUCUCUCACAGUAAGCUCUAUAACUCGCAAGCGUAAAGAGUAUAAUCUAAACGUGCGUACCUCAGAAAGUUCGUUAAGAACUCUUAUAUACCUGGUAACUUUCUCUCUCCUGGCAGUUACAGACUUGGACACGUGGCUCGCAUCCAACUGUACACGUGCCAUCAUCUGGAGGCUCCUUGACUUGGGCGCUGCUUCUACUCUCAUUUUGGCUAAGUUACUUAUGCAUGGUACUGCCCAAUGCAUAGCUAACUUGGGAGUGCGAUCUCUACUGGAACUGGCGAGUUAGGGGCCUUCAUACACCUUCCCUGUGGUCUCGCCGGCCGCCUUCAUAAUCUGCUUCUCCUUCAUCUUUGGCGAUGUGCUUGCUCUGGCGAUCUCCAAUAACUAGGUCGCCUGAAUCUACAUCUGGCGACUUCAUCUUUAACCCGGUGAUCGCCGAUUCUAAUAAGCUGGAGAUCGGAACACGCCAACUUAACAACUGGCGACUACGCGAGCCCCCCGACUUCCUUCCCUUCUGCCAACCUGGCGCCUUGUCAACACGCCUAUACUGUAGCUGGAUGCGACGUCAUCACUUCCGACUUCCAGGGCGGUACACAAGCCCCCCAGUCUUAAGCGAAGACUUGUCUAGCGAAAAGACUGAAAGAGUCACGUCAACACCGGUCUACGUGGCACUGACGCAGAAUUCCAAGCGGUUAUACCUUCUGCUGCUCUGACGCUCCACCAAACCCCUCACUCAUCGCUCGACACGUGGCUUCAUCAACGGCUCUCUUCAUUUGCCGUUUGCGCUUCCUAAACCCAUUUCGAAAAAACUCUUAAACCCAUUUUUACUUCACACUGUUCCAUCACUUUCUUCGUGCUUGCAAACGCUCUAACUUCCUUCUGCGAAAACUCUCAACGCUCUCCAACAUUCCGAAUCACCAUCAACCUUCAACGUCUUCCUGAUCAUAAAAAGGUACCUACUUUCCUUCAUCUGCUAGUUUUUCUUGCAUUUCCACCGAUUCGCAUCAUCCUGUAACUGCCUGGUGCAUACGCUGUGGGUUCCUUUUUCCAUUUUUCCUUCUACGUAACUUAGGGCUUCGUCAAUCAUCACAACGAACUUGCGUUCGUUCGUUUUUCCCCUUCCUGUUAUGAUCGAGUCAGCCUCUGUAACCCCUGAUCAUUUUUCCUUUUCUUCUUCCUUUGCAGCUGCAACAAUGACUCGUACAAAGAUCACCCCGAAUCCUCCCCCUUCGCAACGAAACCCCCCUUCACAAGCACACGACCCACCACAAGCUCGUGGCGCUUCAUCCUCGCAGGCUGAGAGGCCUGCGUCUUCCCGUCCUAAUCUGGCCCGGGCGACUCCACCCAUCGCCGGAGGAGCCUCUGCUCCCUUGCCAGACUUCAAAACCUUGUAUCCCUGGGCCAACUCGACCCUUCUAAGGGAGACAUCUUCGGUGAAUACUGCGGGAGCAGUUUUGCGGCUGACCAAGGGGGAUGAGCCUUAUCAAUCGUUUCAUAAGGAGCACGACGAAAAGAUGAUAGUGCUACCCUGCCCCCCCGAGCUGCCUGUUUGCGCUGAUGAGAAGGUGAGUGCCGACGGGCCCUUCUGUUUCGUCUACACAACCUUAUUCAAGAAGGUGAAGCUCAAGUUCCCUUUCACCCGUUUCGAAAGGGAGCUCCUAACCGAGCUCAACAUUGCCGCCGCCCAGCUCCAUCCCAACAGCUGGGCGUUUGUGCGAGCGUUCGAAGUGAUGUGCGCCCAUCUGGGGUUGCCCGCAUCGGUGGACGUGUUUUUAUUCCUCUUUGAAGCCAAGCACCCGGGAGACCGCCUAUGGGUUAGCUUGAACGUGAUCGCUGGGAGGUCCAUCUUUGCUAUCUUCCAGCAAUCGUAUAAAGAUUGGAAAGGGAAGUUCGUCCAAGUGCGCGCCAACGACAAGGACGAAUCCCUACUCGACGGCUUCCCCUUAUACUGGGUGGAUAAGGGGAAGAAAGAAUCCAAGAGCUGCUUCAGGAGACCCAGAAGUCCUGAUAGCAUGGGGGCGUUGGACAGAGAUCUCUGUCUCUUCUGGAAGAGGGUGGCGGAUGCCAACAUCACUUUCCUUACCACCACCUUGAUCUGCUUCGAAUUCUACGAAGACCAGCUAGAAAUUCGAAUAGGUUAGAACAUUAAAAACUGUUGUUUUAAUACUGCUUCUGUUUAGCUGUUUCUGGGUGUCUUGCGCGUUAUGCGCAAGACUUUGAUUUUAUCUUUCCUGCACAUACCAUCUGCUUUGCUGUUUUACUACCUUAUGCAUUUGUUUUUUCCCUGAGUUAACCCAUGCACUUUCGCUCCAUGCAGACGACAUGUUGGGCAAAGGCAUGCUCGCUGAACUGAAGGCGCUCGCCCGAAACCAUGGAUUGGCGACGGGCUCGCAAACAGUGCCCAACUCGGUGGUGGAGAAGGCUAUCGUCCACGGGCGAUCACCACCUAAGGAACCCACCCAACGCAAAAAACUGGUUCUUAAAAGGCCUAAAAGGAAAGCCCCUCAAGUCAUCCACGAGGAGGAAGAAGAAGAUGACGAGGUCACCGAGGACGACCUCGUUACAAAGAGGAAAAGGGUGGCAUCUUCCUCGCCGCCUGCACCACCCCCUCUUCCAACCUCAACACCACCAUCGACGCCUGCUCCUCCCCCAUCAUCGCCGCCCCCACAGGCUCCUGCCUCACCAGUCCAAGCAAUCCCACUGGCCACUGUGCCACCUGCAGUGGAGGCCCAAGAGCCAAACUUCAUGGAGGACCCCCCGAGCGCCUCCACGCCAUACGCAUCAGCUGGAGGGGGUCCUCCUUCAAACGCCUCAGCUGCAGAAAUUGAACCAAUCGGGGAUGAGGUUGCCCAUACUUCACCGAUUCUGAUCACCGAAUCCCCGAUUCCGUCGCCACGCCAACAAGCGCCUACUGAAGAACCUGCUAAGGAAGGUGGCGAUGAGAACCAACAACAGGCUCCCCUGGUGCCUCUCCAAGCAGCAAACCUUCCUUUGGAGGUCACAAGGAUGUGGGAGCCUCUAUCUGCUAAGCUGAAGACCAUAGCAGAAGACAUCCCGGCGAUCAUAACCAGAGCUGUGGAGAGCUCCACCAGGAGGCUUCAAGACGAUCUCUUCAACCUCAAAACUGAAAACAGCACUAUGAAGGUCGAGGUGGAGAAAUUGUCUUUCAACCUGACACUCGCGGAGAUUGAACACUCCCGAGUAGAAGACGCGAUGAGCACCGAGCUCAGAUUGGCACGCAAAGAGGCCACUGAUCUCUGCCAUAAGGUGCAUCAGCUUGCCCAAGAGAAGGUCGAACUGGAGAGCAAGAUUGUGCCCCUUCGCGCCAGGGCGGUUGACCUGGAGGCUCUCAUGAAAGCUGAAGCUGCUAAGGUGCAAAAACUGGAGCAGAGGUCGAUCGACCGGGAGAAAUUUCUUGGGCAAGUGGAAAAGGCGAGGGACGACGCCAUAGCUGAUCUUGCCGAGGCCAACAAAGAGAAAGGAAAGGCAGUCGCUGAACUAGCCCAAGCGCAAGCGGAAACCAAGAAGGUUACUGAAGACCUUCUCCAGGCUCAAGAGACCAACGAACAACUCAAAAAACAGGUUGAAGAGCUGGAGCAACAGAAUAAAGAGUUGAAAGAGCAAACUGAAGACCUCAAGAAGCGGAUUGAGGAACUUCAGGAGCAAAUUGAAGAACUCAAGCUAAACUCUGCUCAAAUUCUGGCUGCUGGGUUUGAAGCUGCGCGGGAACAAUUUGCUUGCCUAUUCCCCGACCUGGAUCUCAGCAUGGUGUCGCUGAACAAUGAAGUAGUAGAUGGAAAAGUCGUUCCUGCUGAAGACUAAUCAACUCUUCUUCAUCUACUACCUUCGUGUUUUCCCUUGUAUUAUUCUGUAAUAAACUCGUGUAUAUGUGCCUUUAACAGAUACUUAUCUUAAUGACAAAGUUUGGGUAUCCCCUCUCCUGACUUCUUCAAGCGCUUUAACCUUCUUUGCAUGUUUAACUUUAUCGGAUUUAACUUAACGAUUUUGUAAACACGGCUUUGACUUAACUGCUUCGAACCACUUCAAACUUAAGCAACAAUCACUUUAAUCAACUUGUAAUCUUAAGGCAACUAACCUUAACGUAAGGAACAGCCUUCAAGCAACAGACUUUAAAUCAGCUACUGGCUUAAACACUGCUUCACGCAAUCUGCUCCAUCGAAACGGGUCUUUUAACGUUCUCGCCGAUGUUUGAACCUUUCCUGGUCGCCAGAGACUCUCGGCGAUCAGCUUCUUUCUGGCUUCACGCCUUGGCCAUUGUUUCUUUAUCUAGGGGUAGAAACGCCUUUUGGGAUCCUUCUUUACCUCCCUGAACUUCAGAGCGAAAGACCGGGUGACUAGGCGUUCUCUUCGAACCUACCUUAGCCACCUUCCAAACUUCUUCCACCCUCUGCACCAUACCUGAACUCGUUCAAGACGAGAAGGAUUUUAUCUUGCCCAAGCUCGCAUGUAGGCGAGAAGGUCUUUGAACUCGCCUGAACUCGCUCAUCGGCGAGAAGGUCUUUAACUCGCCUGAACUCGCUCAUCGGCGAGAAGGUCUUUAACGUGCCUGAACUCGCUCAUCGGCGAGAAGGUCUUUAAACUCGCCUCUACGUUGCCCCAGGGGUUACAUCUUCUCGCCCCCAGAAACACGGAGGACUUUUUACUGGUGCCUCUACAUUGCCCCAGGAGUUACAUCUCCUCGCCUCCAGAAACACGGAGGACUUUUUCUCUUUCUCGCCUGCACUCGCUCGACGGCGAGGAGGUCUUUAUCUUGCCUCUACAUUGCCCCAGGGGUUACAUCUUCUCACCCCCAGAAACACGGAGGACUUUUUCUCUUUCUCGCCUGCACUCGCUCGACGGCGAGGAGGUCUUUAUCUUGCCUCUACAUUGCCCCAGGGGUUACAUCUUCUCGCCCCCAGAAACACGGAGGACUUUUUCUCUUUCUCGCCUGCACUCGCUCAACGGCGAGGAGGUCUUUAUCUUGCCUCUACAUUGCCCCAGGGGUUACAUCUUCUCGCCCCCAGAAACACGGGGGACUUUUGCUUGCCUCAGGACGCGCGAGGGCGUUGAGGUCUUUUAACUGGUGCCUCCGAUCGCCGAAAAACGAUGAGGACUUUAAAAACUUUAACUGAUGCCUCCAAUCAUCGAAAAACGAUGAGGACUUAAAAACUUUAACUGAUGCCUCCAAUCGCCGAAAAACGAUGAGGACUUAAAAACUUUAACUGAUGCCUCCCAUCGCCGAAAAACGAUGAGGACUUAAAACUUUAACUGCUGCCUCCAAUCGCCNNNNNNNNNNNNNNNNNNNNNNNNNNNNNNNNNNNNNNNNNNNNNNNNNNNNNNNNNNNNNNNNNNNNNNNNNNNNNNNNNNNNNNNNNNNNNNNNNNNNNNNNNNNNNNNNNNNNNNNNNNNNNNNNNNNNNNNNNNNNNNNNNNNNNNNNNNNNNNNNNNNNNNNNNNNNNNNNNNNNNNNNNNNNNNNNNNNNNNNNNNNNNNNNNNNNNNNNNNNNNNNNNNNNNNNNNNNNNNNNNNNNNNNNNNNNNNNNNNNNNNNNNNNNNNNNNNNNNNNNNNNNNNNNNNNNNNNNNNNNNNNNNNNNNNNNNNNNNNNNNNNNNNNNNNNNNNNNNNNNNNNNNNNNNNNNNNNNNNNNNNNNNNNNNNNNNNNNNNNNNNNNNNNNNNNNNNNNNNNNNNNNNNNNNNNNNNNNNNNNNNNNNNNNNNNNNNNNNNNNNNNNNNNNNNNNNNNNNNNNNNNNNNNNNNNNNNNNNNNNNNNNNNNNNNNNNNNNNNNNNNNNNNNNNNNNNNNNNNNNNNNNNNNNNNNNNNNNNNNNNNNNNNNNNNNNNNNNNNNNNNNNNNNNNNNNNNNNNNNNNNNNNNNNNNNNNNNNNNNNNNNNNNNNNNNNNNNNNNNNNNNNNNNNNNNNNNNNNNNNNNNNNNNNNNNNNNNNNNNNNNNNNNNNNNNNNNNNNNNNNNNNNNNNNNNNNNNNNNNNNNNNNNNNNNNNNNNNNNNNNNNNNNNNNNNNNNNNNNNNNNNNNNNNNNNNNNNNNNNNNNNNNNNNNNNNNNNNNNNNNNNNNNNNNNNNNNNNNNNNNNNNNNNNNNNNNNNNNNNNNNNNNNNNNNNNNNNNNNNNNNNNNNNNNNNNNNNNNNNNNNNNNNNNNNNNNNNNNNNNNNNNNNNNNNNNNNNNNNNNNNNNNNNNNNNNNNNNNNNNNNNNNNNNNNNNNNNNNNNNNNNNNNNNNNNNNNNNNNNNNNNNNNNNNNNNNNNNNNNNNNNNNNNNNNNNNNNNNNNNNNNNNNNNNNNNNNNNNNNNNNNNNNNNNNNNNNNNNNNNNNNNNNNNNNNNNNNNNNNNNNNNNNNNNNNNNNNNNNNNNNNNNNNNNNNNNNNNNNNNNNNNNNNNNNNNNNNNNNNNNNNNNNNNNNNNNNNNNNNNNNNNNNNNNNNNNNNNNNNNNNNNNNNNNNNNNNNNNNNNNNNNNNNNNNNNNNNNNNNNNNNNNNNNNNNNNNNNNNNNNNNNNNNNNNNNNNNNNNNNNNNNNNNNNNNNNNNNNNNNNNNNNNNNNNNNNNNNNNNNNNNNNNNNNNNNNNNNNNNNNNNNNNNNNNNNNNNNNNNNNNNNNNNNNNNNNNNNNNNNNNNNNNNNNNNNNNNNNNNNNNNNNNNNNNNNNNNNNNNNNNNNNNNNNNNNNNNNNNNNNNNNNNNNNNNNNNNNNNNNNNNNNNNNNNNNNNNNNNNNNNNNNNNNNNNNNNNNNNNNNNNNNNNNNNNNNNNNNNNNNNNNNNNNNNNNNNNNNNNNNNNNNNNNNNNNNNNNNNNNNNNNNNNNNNNNNNNNNNNNNNNNNNNNNNNNNNNNNNNNNNNNNNNNNNNNNNNNNNNNNNNNNNNNNNNNNNNNNNNNNNNNNNNNNNNNNNNNNNNNNNNNNNNNNNNNNNNNNNNNNNNNNNNNNNNNNNNNNNNNNNNNNNNNNNNNNNNNNNNNNNNNNNNNNNNNNNNNNNNNNNNNNNNNNNNNNNNNNNNNNNNNNNNNNNNNNNNNNNNNNNNNNNNNNNNNNNNNNNNNNNNNNNNNNNNNNNNNNNNNNNNNNNNNNNNNNNNNNNNNNNNNNNNNNNNNNNNNNNNNNNNNNNNNNNNNNNNNNNNNNNNNNNNNNNNNNNNNNNNNNNNNNNNNNNNNNNNNNNNNNNNNNNNNNNNNNNNNNNNNNNNNNNNNNNNNNNNNNNNNNNNNNNNNNNNNNNNNNNNNNNNNNNNNNNNNNNNNNNNNNNNNNNNNNNNNNNNNNNNNNNNNNNNNNNNNNNNNNNNNNNNNNNNNNNNNNNNNNNNNNNNNNNNNNNNNNNNNNNNNNNNNNNNNNNNNNNNNNNNNNNNNNNNNNNNNNNNNNNNNNNNNNNNNNNNNNNNNNNNNNNNNNNNNNNNNNNNNNNNNNNNNNNNNNNNNNNNNNNNNNNNNNNNNNNNNNNNNNNNNNNNNNNNNNNNNNNNNNNNNNNNNNNNNNNNNNNNNNNNNNNNNNNNNNNNNNNNNNNNNNNNNNNNNNNNNNNNNNNNNNNNNNNNNNNNNNNNNNNNNNNNNNNNNNNNNNNNNNNNNNNNNNNNNNNNNNNNNNNNNNNNNNNNNNNNNNNNNNNNNNNNNNNNNNNNNNNNNNNNNNNNNNNNNNNNNNNNNNNNNNNNNNNNNNNNNNNNNNNNNNNNNNNNNNNNNNNNNNNNNNNNNNNNNNNNNNNNNNNNNNNNNNNNNNNNNNNNNNNNNNNNNNNNNNNNNNNNNNNNNNNNNNNNNNNNNNNNNNNNNNNNNNNNNNNNNNNNNNNNNNNNNNNNNNNNNNNNNNNNNNNNNNNNNNNNNNNNNNNNNNNNNNNNNNNNNNNNNNNNNNNNNNNNNNNNNNNNNNNNNNNNNNNNNNNNNNNNNNNNNNNNNNNNNNNNNNNNNNNNNNNNNNNNNNNNNNNNNNNNNNNNNNNNNNNNNNNNNNNNNNNNNNNNNNNNNNNNNNNNNNNNNNNNNNNNNNNNNNNNNNNNNNNNNNNNNNNNNNNNNNNNNNNNNNNNNNNNNNNNNNNNNNNNNNCCUAUGGUGUGGAUCUCCCCGUGGAUAGGCAUCUCGUGUUGCUGGGCUUCUCCACCUGCUGACUGGGAACUCGACGCUCCCCCCGUCCUCCUGUCCAGCAGAUAGUCAUUCAGGAACCCGCUCUUAACCAGAUCGUCGAGCUGAUAUCCCAAGGACAGACACGAGUCCAAAGUGUGGCCAAAGCCUUGGUGAAACUCGCACCAGGCAUCUGGCUUUGACCCCAGCACCUUGUCGCCCACCUUCUCAGGCGCUUUCAGCCUAGCAGAUUGUUAGGAAUGGCGAUCAGAUCCGCCAGUCCCAUGACAAACUUGUGCUUAGGCGGGCGAUUGUAUUCCCGGCGUACUGGUUGCUGGCGUGCUUGGCUCCUUCCCUUAUUCCUCCUAUCGUAAGGAUGGCGAGUCCUCUGGUCCUUCCUGGCCGCCACCGCUGUCUCCAGCACCCUCUGCGGCUGGGUCCUGGUCUGGGCGCGUGGCCUAGCGGGAGCCACGCUUCCUCUCUUCUCGGCGACUUCACUCUCGUCGGCGAUGUGAGCCACCGCAAGUCACCUGACUUCAGCAAACGUCGCAGGGUGAGCCCUGAUCAAGGCCUCACAAAAUGGUCCCGACAGCACGCCCUUCUUGAAUGCAUAAACCAGCAUUUCUUCAUCUUUAGCCGGCGAUCUGACCAUAUGCGCUCCAAAGCGAUUCAGGUAGUCUCUGAGGGACUCUCCCUGGUACUGCCUUAUAUCAAACAGGUCAUAAGACACCCUGGGCGGUGCCUUAUUCACGAUGUACUGCUCGCAAAAAUCUUCGAGAACUGUUGAAAGUUGGUUAUGUGGCCGUUAGGCAGGCUCACAAACCACUCCAACGCCGUUCCUUGGAGCGUACUCACNNNNNNNNNNNNNNNNNNNNNNNNNNNNNNNNNNNNNNNNNNNNNNNNNNNNNNNNNNNNNNNNNNNNNNNNNNNNNNNNNNNNNNNNNNNNNNNNNNNNGCCAGAUACUCCUUCAGCUUGACGAAAGUUUCCUCGCACUCUUUUGUCCAAACGAACUUAUUAUUGCGCGGCAGACACUGAAAAUAGGGAAUGCCCUUUUUUCCGUUAGCGAACACGAAGCGAGAUAGGGCUGCCAUCCGACCUGUUAGCUGCUGGACUUCUUUCACCGUGGCUGGGCUCCUCAUCGCCAAGAUGGCGGCACACUUGUCUGGGUUGGCUUCAAUUCCUCUUUCAGUCAAGAGGAAACCCAAAAACUUUCCAGCCUCCACGCCGAAAAUGCAUUUCUCCGGAUUGAGCUUUAACUUGAACUUGGCGAUCGUCGUGAACAAUUCUUCCAAGUCUGCAACGUGCUUGUUUUUUUCCUGCGAGGUCACGACCAUGUCAUCGACGUAAGCUUGCACGUUCCUUCCCAGCAUUGGUGCAAGUACUCGAUCCAUCAGCCUCUGGGUACGUGGCCCCCGCGUUCUUCAGCCCAAACGGCAUCACCUUAUAGCAGUAGCACGACCUCUCCGUCAUGAAGGCUGUUUUCUCUUCAUCCAUGGGAUGCAUCGUGAUCUGAUUAUAUCCUGAGAAGGCAUCCAGGAAACUCAGCAACUUACACCCUGCAGCACUAUCAACCAGGGCAUCUAUGCUUGGUAAAGAUUACGAAUCCUUUGGGCAAGCUUUGUUCAGGUCGGUGAAGUCGACGCACAUGCGCCAUUUCCCGUUACUCUUCUUCACCAGCACGACAUUUGCCAACCAUUCAGGGUACUGGACUUCCCUGAUGUGGCCUGCAGCGAGGAGUUUUUGUGUUUCAUCUCUAAUCGCCUGCCUCCUCUCCUCGUUGAACUUUCUUCUUCUCUGUCGCACCGGUCUCACCAAAUUGUCCAUCGCCAGAUGAUGGCACAAGAAGUCGGGAUCAAUCCCGGGCAUGUCCGAAGCGGACCAUGCAAACGCGUCCAGAUGCCUCUCAAUCACCUUGGCGAUCUGGUCCUGGAGCUCGACAUCCAGGGAUCUUCCCAGCUUGAAGAUCUUUCCUCCGAUCUCCUUUUCGAGCCACUGCUCGACAGGUUUUGGCCUGGAUUCUCUGGCGAUCACCGCCCUGGCGAUUCCCUGCUCCCUUGCUUCCUCAGGGCGAUUCCACGCCUCUUCCUCCUCCAGACCAGCAUUCCUCUCGCCCAGCUCAGCGUCCACCAUCUCCACAUCUCUUCCGGCGGCCUCCUCUGUUACCGUCGAUCUGGGCUUCACACCGGGAGGUGGGGUGGUUGUUACAUAACUCACUGAUCUUUUGUUUUUCAGGCUAUUCUCAUAGCACCUUUUCGCUUAUUUCUGAUCAGACUUGAUCGUGAUCACCACCCCUUCCAUGGACGACAACUUUACCUUCAUGUGCCGAGUCGACGGAAUGGCGCCUAUCCUGUUAAGCGUGGGCCUUCCCAACAGGAUGUUAUAUGCUGAAGGAGCGUUUACGAUGAGGUACUUGAUUUUCUCCGUCCUCGACCUAGCCUCAUCAGUAAACGUGGUUCUCAGCUCUAUGUACCCCCUGACCUCCACCUGGUCUCCAGUGAACCCAUAUAGGCACCCUCCAUAGGGCCUUAGCUGGUCAAGGGGCAACUCCAGCGUAUACCCCCCCACCGGAGCAAGGUAUGUCCAUGGUUUUUAUUCNNNNNNNNNNNNNNNNNNNNNNNNNNNNNNNNNNNNNNNNNNNNNNNNNNNNNNNNNNNNNNNNNNNNNNNNNNNNNNNNNNNNNNNNNNNNNNNNNNNNGCUCGCGGGAAUGGGCGUGUCAGUGAUCGCCUGAAUAAAAGGCAUGGGAAAAACACGAGGUGGCAACGACGGCACAACCUCUUCAGCGGAAGAACGUCCUUGCUGCUCCUGAAGAGCUUGACGCAACUCCUCAGUCACCUUGCUGAGCUCCUCAUUCCUGGCGCGAGAGGCGACCAGGUCCUCAUGCAUUCUCGCCUGUUCGAUGCGCGAGGCCUCCACAGUUGCCUGCAACGAACGCAUCAUCUCUGCCAUCUGCGCCAUGGUCAUGGCAGCGGCGCCUUCAGCAGCGACGGGCGCAACUGGACUUGAGCGAUUGCUUCUCAUUUUUCUCAUGAAACUCAGCGAAUCACAGAAUGCAGCGGACGACACUUACUUCAGCCACGAUCGACUCAGCGAUCAAUCGGAGAAAACAGCGCGAAACUGCGCGAGAAAACUCAAGAACAACGUAAACCUUCAAAGAAAACCACAACCUCACCAGAAACCCGCGCUUUCCCACAGACAACCAAACGAGCGCAAGAACUCAAACUCUACCGAACGAAUCACGCAUAAACAGCAGAAAACCUCACUUCACCGAACAAAACUCGAAACGAACGGUGGAAAAAUGCGAAUUCACCGAACAAAACUCAGACAAAUAGCGGACGAUGGUUGCACCAGCACACAACCACGCAAAAACUUCGAAAACCUCCAAGAACUCACGCCGUGGAUGGGAGCAAAUUUUACACGGCCCCACGGUGGGCGCCUGAUGAUCCUGCCUGUUGACCGGAACGCUGGAAACUGCCUCGCAAAGGAUCGACGUGUGCACCGCUUCGAACCUCCGUUCCUCUUCGAGAUCUACCUCAAGAACCUGCAAAGAAAUAGAGCGGCGCCGCUGCGGCCGAUUGCACUCCAACGCCCAAGUCAGUGACGGUAUCACCAAAUACUAAGAGAACAAGAACCGUGCAAAUCCUCUCUCACAGUAAGCUCUAUAACUCGCAAGCGUAAAGAGUAUAAUCUGAAUGUGCGUACCUCAUAAAGUUCGUUAAGAACUCUUAUAUACCUGGUAACUUUCUCUCUCCUGGCAGUUACAGACUUGGACACGUGGCUCGCAUCCAACUGUACACGUGCCAUCAUCUGGAGGCUCCUUGACUUGGGUGCUGCUUCUACUCUCAUUUUGGCUAAGUUACUUAUGCAUGGUACUGCCCAGUGCAUAGCUAACUUGGGAGUGCGAUCUCUACUGGAAUUGGCGAGUUAGGGGCCUUCAUACACCUUCCCUGUGGUCUCGCCGGCCGCCUUCAUAAUCUGCUUCUCCUUCAUCUUUGGCGAUGUGCUUGCUCUGGCGAUCUCCAAUAACUAGGUCGCCUGAAUCUACAUCUGGCGACUUCAUCUUUAACCCGGUGAUCGCCGAUUCUAAUAAGCUGGAGAUCGGAACACGCCAACUUAACAACUGGCGACUACGCGAGCCCCCCGACUUCCUUCCCUUCUGCCAACCUGGCGCCUUGUCAACACGCCUAUACUGUAGCUGGAUGCGACGUCAUCACUUCCGACUUCCAGGGCGGUACAUUAUCAAAUCUUAACAAACUCUUAAUUGCAUUUAAAGAUGAUUGGACAAAGCAUUUAAUGACUGGAGCGUAUUCAGUUAAAGCAUUUAAAGCUCAGUCAAAGAAAACAGUUUUUCUGUUAUGGUUUUAAAACAAACAAUCGAUUGUUUUCUCGAAUCAAUCGGUUGUUUUGUUACUUAACAAAAACACCAUUCAAAAAAAGUUUUCAAACUUUCUCAAAACGCCUAAGUGUAAACAAUCGGUUGUUUCAACUUAGUUUGAAAAUCAUUUUGCUUUGAUAAAGUUGAGAUGCUAAUUGCUUUGAGAUUUAAUCCAAGUGUUGAUUACAACAUUGAACUACCCCAGAACAAGGCUAAAACCAGCACAGUAGCAACAAGCAAAGCAGAGGCUUCAUCAUCCUUCAAAGGAUUUGGAUACUUCAAAACAUUGAACACCACUUGGUUCAACAAUCUCCCCCUAUUUGAUGAAGACAAAUCCCUGAUGCUUGUGUUGUUCUUUGAUUAAAUCUGAGGCAAUUCUUGCAAUAGAACUUUGAGCAAUACAUUGAACUUCUGAUAUUUUGUUAGCAUACAGAUAAACAAUUAAAGCUUAAAACAUUCAAUAUCAGAACCAAAUAACAUCACUCAAACUGUUUUUAACAAUAUGAAAAACAAAAACUUAAAACAAAUUGAAAACACAGCAUAUAUCUCCCCCUAUUUGUCUUCACAAAUAGACAAAGAUAAGAGAUAAAAUAAAACAUUGUUCCAAUUACAUCAGAAUAAACCAGCAACAGUAGAAGGAAAGAAAUUUAGAACCAGAAAAGAGAACAGCAAAAAACAAUCGAUUGUUUCGAUGGCCAAUCGGUUGUUUUUCUCUCAGUCUUCUUCAUCAGCAAACUGAAGAUCAAAGAUUUGAUUCUGGACAGCUUCAAUCUGUUCGUCCAGAGUCAUAAACCUUGCAUCCAUGUUGUCAAACCUUGUGUCUAUCCUCUGAAAGUUGCUAACACAUAGGUCAUGAAGGCUCCUUUGAUUUUUAGCAAAGGUAUCUAGCCUAUUCACCAUGAGUCUUUCAAAAAGAGACAUGGUUUGCAUUCUUUCUCCUUGAUGUUCAGCAUCAGCACUAGGUCCUGCAUCUUGAAAAUCUUCAGCUGGAUCUUCAUGUUGAACAUCCAUGUCAGCAGGUUCAUCUUGUUCAAGGUGAGCAACACCACUUGAUGAGGCACCAUGAUCACCAUCCUUACUUAACCAUUUUCCACCUAUUUUUGUGAAGCCCAUCUUGCUGAGUGAUCCAUUGUUCAACUCUUGAGUUGACUUGACCAGCUCAGAAGUUUCAUCUUCAAGAUUAACUUCAAAAUAAUGUAGAAACUUAGAUAUUAAAACAGCAUAGGGAUAGUGGUAAUCGCCUAACCUCAUGGCUUUUUGCAUAUGUUCCUUGAUUAUGUGAAUCCAAUUGAUCUUCACUUUCUUGGUGAUGCAAAAGAUGUAAACCAGAUCUUCUUCAGUCAACAUUGAGUGAUUACUCCCCCUUGGAGUUAGGAUCCAAGUUACAAUGAGAGCAAGCAACCUCUCAUCAAUCUUCAAGCCUCCAACCGAGCAAAUGCUAACUUGAGAUUGUUUGUUCUUCAAGCAACUUUUGUAGAACUGGAUUUUGUUGAAAUCUUCUACCACACCAAGGUUUCCUUUGUUGAUUCUUAAUCCAGAGAACUUAAGCCUAGCUACAACAGCCCAAACCUCAUGGGUUAUCUCCAUCUCCACACCUUUCACAUGAGAGACUAAGUUGUUUCCCUCAAACUUCAAGUUGGUGUAGAAAACCCUCACCAAAUCUGGAUAAAUGUUUCCUUUGAGCUCCAGAAACUUUCUGAGUGAUUGGUCUUUGAGAAGCCUCCUCACAUUGUCAAGCUUUUGACUUUUCAGCCAGUCAAAGCACACAACCUUGGGGUUGUUUAUUUUCUUGACACUUGUUUCAUAUCUAUACUUCUCAAUGAGAUCGGUGUCACCAGAAAACCAGCUUUCAAGCCUUCCUCCAGACCUUACAGCUCUGGUUUUGACUCUUUUAGAGGUGGGAGGGGUUGAUUCCAUGACAACAGAGAUGAAAACUCACUUCACAGAAAUUUGCAAGAGAUGGUGCAAAAGAUGUUGCAAGAUAUGUUGCAAUUGGUUGUUCUUUAUGAAAGAAGUCUGCACCUGAUUUUAUAGUAGAAAGAGAAUCAAUUUGAAUUUAAUUUCAUUCAAUGGGUACCUGAUUUUCAGAGAGAGGACUUGACUCUGUUCUGCACUGAAAAUGUCAGAAAAAGCUGAAAAUCACAUGGUCUUCACAUGUGAUCUUUGACUAGUCAUUAAAGCUCUUGAAAUUCCAAGAUUUUGGAAUAUAUUUCUUUAUGACUGUUGUAAAUCCUUUCUGAACAUGAUCCGCUUUCAACACAGAUCCUUUGACCAAGAUUCUCCCUUUGAAAAAUAUCUGCAACGGCUAGAAAUUCAACAAUCAGUUAAGUCAAUUUCUACACAGUGCUGUCAGACUCAAAACAAUCGGUUGUUUUUCUGCAGCAGUUAAAAACUUGAUUUUGCAAUUUUUAACCAUAAACAGAAACAGCUAAAAGCACAUGACAUUGAUUAAAAGACAAUUAAUCAUAAGAAAGAACUUUGAAAUAGAAAUUGAUAACAAAUAAAAGGAAGGUCUUAUCCUUGUGUUGUUUCUUCAAUGAGCCAAUUGCUUGUUGAUCAAGAAAGCUUCUUUUCACUGUUUUGACCUUUUGCAUAUCAUUGAUUCAGCUUCAAUGACUGCCUUUUUCUUCAACAGCUUGAUCAGAUGGCUCAAUUCUUCCUUUUUCUCUUCAUUUUUCCUGCAUAAUCAAAUACAAGUUGCAAGAUUUGGUCCCCUUACAAAUUUUGGUCCAUUUGGCUUUUCUUUGCUGUUAAAAACAUCACAUCCCUUAGGAAUCCAUUUCUUAAAACCUUUAGGAACAUAAUAUUUUCUAAUUUUGCAGAAUCUAACAGAGUGGCCUUUCUUCAUGCAGUAAAAGCAUGUAACAACCGGUUGUUUCGUCUUAACAAUCAGUUGUUUUUCUGAUUUUUUCAAAAAACUUUUUGAAAACCUAUCUUGCUUGUUUUGUGGAUUGAAGCCUAAACCAGCCUUUCCAAAAACACAGCUUUGAGAUGCUAGGACAUUCUCAAAGUUUGACUUUCCUUUUGAAAGCUUGUCCACAGUUUCAACAAGAUAGUGAAUCUUUUUCUCAAGAUUUUCACAAUUUGGGCAAUUGAGAGUAUCACACUUGCAAGAGGCAUUUUUGAAAUCUUUUUCCAGUUUUUCAAAAUCACUUUUUGCUUUUCUCAGUUCCUCUUCAAGUGAUAUAACUUUCUUUUCAAGCCCAUUGUUAAGAUCUUUCAAUCGGUUGUUUGAAAGAACCAAUCUAUUAGCUUCAUCAUGAGUUUCUUGAAAAGCUUCAAGCAAUUCACUAUAGUUUUGUUCAUUUAAGGAAGCACAUGAACUAACCUCACUUGAACUGCAAGAAUCAUCAUCAUCAUCCUCAGCAACUAAGCAUAUGUUGGCUUUUUCAUCUUCACUUGAUAAAGAGCUUGAUGAUGAUACUUCAUUUUCAUCCCAAGCAAUGUAGGCUCUUUUUGUUUUGUCUUUCUUCUCCUUGUAGCUUGUCUUUUUCUCUUUACUCUUGUUGGGACAAUCAACCUUUAUGUGACCUUGCUCACCACAACCAAAACAAGUAUAGCUAUUUGAAUUAAAUUCAUUGGGUUUCUUGUUUCCAUACCUAUCCUUGUUGUUGUCUUUAUUGCGGUUUCUCUUGAGGAAUUUGCUGAAUUUUCUUGACAGCAAACUUAGAUUUUCCUCAUCACUAUCAUCACUUGAAUCUUGCUUUCCCUUAUGUUUGGAUGCUUUCAAGGCUAUGCUCCUUGUGUGCUUAUCUUCACUCUCUUGAACAUUGAGUCUAUUCAUCUCUAGCUCAUGUUCCCUAAGCUUUCCAAACAAAGAGGCAACACUUAAUGAUGUUAGAUCUUUAGAUUCGGAAAUAGCAGUUACCUUUGGUUGCCAUGCUCUAUCAAGACAUUUUAAGAUCUUGAUGUUCAGCUCCUCUUUAUCAAACGUCUUGUCAAGGCUCAUAAGGUGAUUGAUGAUGUGUGUAAACCUUUUCUGCACUUCAGCUAUGGUUUCACCUUUCAGCAUUCUAAACAUCUCAUACUCUUGGAUGAGAGCAUGCUUUCUAGCUCUUUUCACCUCAUUUGUUCCUUCAUGAGUGACUUCCAAAGCAUCCCACAUUUCUUUUGAUGAUUUGCAUUGUGAGACCCUGAAAAACUCAUCAGAAUUUAAAGCAGAGGUUAUAAUAUUUUUGGCAAUGCAAUCGAAUUUAGCCUUUCUACUUUCUGCUUCAGUCCAUUGAGACCAUGGCUUCUCAAUGACAGAACCAUCUUUUUCAAACGUUGGGAUAAAAGGGCCAUUUUCAAUUGCAUCCCAAAUUCCUUUGUCAAGAGAUUCCACAAAUAUUUUCAUUCUAACUUUCCAAAACUGGUAAUUCAAACCACAAAACAAGGGUGGUCUGUUUAUUGAGGCACCUUCCCCAAAACUGGUAAUUCAAACCACAAAACAAGGGUAGUCUAUCAGCCAUUUUGAAUGAUUUUAGGAUCAACUUGAAUAACUUUCAAGAACCAAGCUCUUGAUGCCAAUUGUUAGAAAAGAUGGCUUUAAACUAGAGGGGGGGGUGAAUGGUUUAAAGGGGUUUUCGCAAACUUUUCAAAGCUAGAAUGAACUUAUUUCAGAAACCAAUUGAUUCAGCAAUUUAGUUAGCCAAAACAGCAAGCAAAACUGUAAUACUAGGAAAAAUAAUCGGUUGUUUCUUCGAAACAAUCGGUUGUUUAUACCAGCAAACAACAAACAAACUAAAUUUAAAGAGUUAAGGAUAGAGAGAUUGUACACAGUUGUUUAUACUGCUUCACUCAGAGCUACAUCCAGUCUUCUCAGAAACCCUGAGGAUAUCCACUAAGCAAUCACCACUUGAUCACUUACACCACAACCAAGAGAAGGAUCUUGAACACCUCAAGAAACACACUCUCCUUGGCCAACACUAAGAUUGCUGAUCUUGAACACCUCAAGAACACACAGCCAAUCUCAACAACACACACAAACAAAUUGUUCAACAGUUUACAAAGAUUACACUUGUUACAGAUGAAUAUCUGAAAUCAAUACAAGUAAAAUCCUUAUACAGCACCUUGAUCAAUCUCUCAACUCUUUAGCAAUCUCAGAAUAUUUUGAAAAACUCUUAUAUGAAAAACUUUGUUUCAAGUUUCUUAAUAUAUUAAAACUGUUUUUCAGAAUAUAUAUAAGAAUAUAGUUUGUUAUCAAAUCUUAACAAACUCUUAAUUGCAUUUAAAGAUGAUUGGUCAAAGCAUUUAAUGACUGGAGCGUAUUCAGUUAAAGCAUUUAAAGCUCAGUCAAAGAAAAAAGUUUUUCUGUUAUGGGUUUAAAACAAACAAUCGAUUGUUUCCUCGAAUCAAUCGGUUGUUUUGUUACUUAACAAAAACACCAUUCAAAAACAGUUUUGAAACUUUCUCAAAACACCUAAGUGUAAACAAUCGGUUGUUUCGACAAAACAAUCGGUUGUUUCAACUUAGUUUGAAAAUCAUUUUGCUUUGAUAAAGUUGAGAUGCUAAUUGCUUUGAGAUUUAAUCUAAGUGUUGAUUACAACAUUGAACUACCCCAGAACAAGGCUAAAACGAACACAGCAGCAACAAGCAAAGCAGAGGCUUCAUCAUCCUUCAAAGGAUUUGAAUUCUUCAAAACAUUGAAUACCACUUGGUUCAACAAUGAUGGGUGCUUGUAUGGCUUCGCGGGAGACCAGAUGGAAGUGCGGGGGCAUUUGGUGGUUAAUGCUGUCUCGGCCUAUAAUAUUCUGUUGGGAAGACCAACUUUGAAUAGGCUGAGGGCAGUAGCAUCAACACGCCAUAUGAAGAUGAAGUUGUCGGACCUGAGCGGGAGGGUGAUAACCUUCAAGUCGGACCAGCAAGAGGCUAAGAAGUGCUAUGAAAACAACCUCAAGACCAAGAAGGGGGUGUUCAUGUUUACUGAGCGCCCACUUGGUAGAGACGAGGACGCCCGCGCAAAAAGGGCGCGAGAGAGGCGACCCGAGCCAGUAGGGGAUAUCGUGGAGAGGCAGAUCGGGGGCAGAACGUUCAAGCUUGGUAAGUCGUUGAACUAAGCUGAGCAAGAUCGAGUUGCUAGGGUGAUAGCAUGACACCCGGAUGCUUUUGUGUGGUCUGCCUCGGACAUGCCAGGCAUAGACCCAUAUUUCCUGUGUCACCGCCUUACCAUGGACCCCAAGGUCAGGCCCGUUCGCCAGAGAAGAAGGAAGUUCAACGAAGAGAGGCAAAAAGUCAUCAAGGAAGAAACAAGGAAGUUGCUGAGUGUCGACCACAUAAGGGAGAUUCAAUACCCUGAGUGGCUGGCAAAUGUGGUCUUGGUGAAGAAGGCCAACGGGAAGUGGAGAAUGUGUGUGGACUUCAUUGACCUCAACAAAGAAUACCUGAAGGACUCGUACCCCUUACCAAGCAUCAACGCCUUGGUGGACAGCGCCUCUGACUGUAAGAUGCCUAGUUUCUUAGAUGUUUUUUUAGGGUACAACCAGAUUAAGAUGCACCCCAGGGACGAGUGCAAGACGACAUUCAUGACUGAAAUGUCUUGUUACUGCUACACGGUGAUGCCCUUUGGGCUAAAGAAUGCGGGCGCCACCUACCAGAGGCUCAUGGAUAGGGUCCUUGAACCCAUGAUAGGACGAAAUGUGCAGGCCUAUGUGGAUGAUAUGGUGGUGAUCUCGCAAAUGAGGGAUCAGCAUGUAACUGACCUAGAAGAGCUAUUUGCGACAAUAGCCAAGUACCGGUUGAAGCUAAUCCCCGAGAAGUGCGUAUUUGAGGUGGAAGCGGGUAAGUUCUUGGGUUUCCUACUCACUGAACGGGGGAUAGAGGCGAACCCGGAGAAGUGCGCAACAAUUCUGGCCAUGAGGAGCCCAACCUCGGUAAAGGAGGUGCAGUAGUUGAGAGGGCGGAUUUGUGUCUGCUGGAGGGGAAAAAGGGCACCCCCACUUCCAGUGUUUAAGGAGGAACAACUGAUUCGUGUGGACUGAAGAGUGCAAGGAGGCAUUCCUUAAGCUAAAGGAGUAUCUAGCUACCCCUCCCGUGUUGUGCAAGCCACAAUUGGGUACGCCGCUCCGAUUGUACUUCACUGUGACGAAACGGGCGAUUAGCUCGAUCCUCGUCCAAGAGCAGGACCAAGUGCAGAAACCAAUAUACUUUAUGAGCAAAGUAUUGCAAGGACCGGAGGUGAGGUACCAAGCCCUAGAGAAAGUGGCCCUGGCCGUGGUGUUCUCGGCUAGGAGGCUUCGUCAUUACUUCCAAAGUUUCAUAGUGGUGGUGAUGACGCACUUGCCUAUGCGAAAGGUGCUACAGAAGUCGGAUGUGGCAGGAAAGAUGGUACGUUGGGCAGUGGAGCUCUCGGAGUUCAAUAUUCAGUAUGAACCUCGAGGCCCCAUCAAAGGCCAGGUGUAUGCGGAUUUUGUGGUAGAGCUCUCCCCAACAAACGCAUAGCAAGGGGAGGAGGCCAACUUCAAAUGGGUACUCUCAGUAGAUGGGUCAUCCAACCAGCAAGGCAGCGGAGCUGGCGUGAUAUUGGAAGGGCCGAACGGGCUGUUGAUUGAGCAGGCUUUAAGGUUCGCUUUCAAGGCCAGCAAAAAUCAGGCGGAGUACGAAGCCCUCAUUGUCGGGAUGCUUUGGCUAAAGAGAUGGGAGCGUAGAGCCUAUUGGCAAAGAGCGAUUCCCUUUUAGUCACAGGUUAGGUGACCGGGGAAUAUCAAGCCAAAGAUCCACUGAUGGCACCAUACUUGGGGUACGUCCAGGUUCUAAAGGGCUCGUUCACAGUAUUUGAGCUAGUGCACGUCCCGAGGGAGCAGAAUGCCUAAGCUGAAUUGCUAGCCAAGCUUGCCAGUUUGGGUAAGGGGGGAAGGUAGAGGAUGGUCAUACAGGAAACCCUCAAGGCACUGCGAACAUUUGUUGCUAAUAAGAUGGUGGGCGUUCAUCAGGUCAGUACUGUUAGAGGAAGGGCGAGGAGUCAUAAGUCGGUGACUCGGGAGAUGCUGAGAACGCCCAGUGUAAGCGCUUACCCGGUUGUGGAGGGGGAACCAAUGCAGAUAUGCAUAGUUGAGGAAGGCGACACAAGGAUGACACCCUACAGGCGCUAUCUAGUCGAUGGGAUACUUCCGUUGGAGUCCGCGGAAGCCAAGAAGAUAAAGAGGAACUCCGCAAAAUACACCCUAGUCGACGGGGAGUUGUUCAGACAUAGGUUCACCCACCUGAUUUUGGUGUGUGUGAGCGGAGACCAGUGUACAUGAAUAAUGACAGAACUCCAUGAGGGGAUUUGUGGUAGCCAUGUGGGAGGGCGGUCUUUGGCGUCAAAGGCCGUCCGCGCAGGUUAUUACUGGCCGACAAUGAGAGAAGUUUGCAUGAGGCACGCCCAGCGGUGCAAACAGUGCCAACAACACGCCGAAUGGCAGAAGGCACCGCUAGAAGAACUAAGGUCGAUUUAUAGCCCGUGGCCGUUUCACACGUGGAGAAUCGACAUUCUGGGGCCCUUUCCUUUGGCGAUAAGGCAAAUGAAGUACCUCAUAGUAGCCAUAGAGUACUUCACGAAGUGGAUAGAGGUUGAGCCAGUAGCACAGAUCACAGCUCACAAGAUCCAACACUUCGUAUGGAAGAAUUUAGUGUGUCGUUUUGACGUGCCGAGGCGUUUAGUUUCUGACAAUGGCACGCAGUUUGCGAGCCAGCAACUGGGCAAGCUGUGCGCAGAGGUUGGGAUAAAGCAGGUGUUCCCAUUGGUUGAGCACCCCCAAACAAAUGGGCAGGUUGAGUUUACCCACAGAGUCCUACUCAAGGGUCUGAAGAGAAGACUCGAAAAGGCUAAAGGAACUUGGGCAAAGGAGGUUCGUAGGAUAGUGUGGGCUUACCACACCACGCCUUAGUCCGCCACCAGAGAGACACCUUUCAGCUUGGUGUACGGGUCUGACGCGAUGAUUCCGGUAGAGAUGCAGGAGAGCUCUCCACAUUUUCAAAGUUUCGUGGCUGAGGAGUAUAAUGAGGAGAGAAAGGUGAACCUGGAUCUGCUAGAUGAGGUCAGGGAGGAGGCGAGGAUCAAAGCUGAAGCAUUAAAGAGAAGGGUGGAGCCCAAGAAUAGCUUGAAGUUGAGACCUCGACAGUUCUAGAUCGUUGACCAAGUGAUGCACAAAGCCCACCCAUAUUAGCUAGAGAACAAGUUGUCCCCCAAGUGGACUGGCCCUUUCAAGGUGACAGAGGUCCUGGGAAACGGGGUGUACAGACUCGAGACUCUGGAGGGAGGCACAAUUCCUCGUACUUGGAAUGCGACCAAUCUCAAGUUUUAUUUCAGUUGAACUCUAGCAUUGUACACAGUUUCAAGGGGACACUUUUUCCCUUUUAAGGGUUUUUUAACGAGGUCACCUAAUAAAAUUACGAUUGAAGUAUACAUAUUCUCGAAUUUUUGUACAAUGCAGUGACAAACCUGUCGUCUUGGUGUUUAGACACCUCGAGAGGGAGUGUCAGCUUCCUUUAUGACACCUCCCCCUCGAGUGUGGGCGCCAAGUAUGAACAACAAGGUUCAGUCAGCAACAAACCUGUCGUCUUGGUGUUUAGACACCUCAAGAGGGAGUGACAGCUUCCUUUAGGACGCCUCCCCCUCGAGUGUAGGCGCCAAGUACUAACAACAAGGUUCAAUCAGCAACGAACCUGUCGUCUUGGUGUUUAGACACCUCGAGAGGGAAUGACAGCUUCCUUUAGGAUGCCUCCCCCUCGAGUGUGGGCGCCAGGUACGAACAACAAGGUUCGACCAAGCUAAGUCCUCCUUUGCCUGUGAGCAAAGAUGAGGCCAGAUGAAAGCCUUGAGAUUAGAAACCUUGAGAGGGAGUGGCAGCUCCCGAGUAGGAUGCCUCCUCUCAAGUGUCGACGCCAGGGCUAAGCGAAGGGAUUCCUAGUUAAGUCCUCUGUUGCCUUAGGGGCAAAAAGGAGGCUAGUUAGUAUACCUCCCCUGACCACAAAGGCAGGGGUGCGGAUUAGUAAAGGAGUUUCCCUUGUCUAAACAAAGUCAAGGCAAGACCAGUUAAAGUUCCAUGCAUGCCCGCCCUCCAUCACAGGUGGCCAAGCGGUCGAAGUGAAGAGAAAGGGGUAGCAAGGGAGCGUGCUACCUAAGGUUCAGUUUUUUCAAAACCAUCGUAUGUUAAAGUUGUUAGCGUUAAAACAUUGUUAACAAGUUAACAGUUAAAGGAAGAAUGGCUAGCAAGCAAACACAACAAAACAGGUAGGGGAAGUACAAAUUGUAUUAAGUUACAAAGUCUAGAGGACAUAGUUUUAAAGGCCAGAAUUACACAAGCUCUUUCUUAGGACGCCUAGGCAUAAUCUGGCCAUCAACAAUGUUGUUCGACGUUGCGAAGGGGGAGACGUCCAUCUUAGGAUGCUUGCAAGCAACCUGAGCAAGAGCAUCCUCAAACCUCGCUGCGUAGGCAUCGGCGACAUCAUCGGUGAGCUCCACCUUGGCUCUCCCAAAGGCUUCAACUUGUGUGGUGAGCUCCGCCUUGGCCUUCUCGCGGGCUUCAGUUUGCGCGGUGAGCUCAGCCUCCACCUUCCCCAAUUUCACCUCCCACUCCGUGGCCCGUUCUUCAAGUUGACCAUCCAAGCUUUGGUGGCCACGACUUCUUCCUCGAGUCCCACCACCUAGGUGCGCAGUGGCACAACCUUGGCCAACAAGGUGGUGUACUCUUGGCUCUUGUCAAAGAGCUUCUUAUUGGUCUCCAGCUCAGCCUGGCGAAGGGCACUUAGUUCUUGAUUCAGCACGGUCUCACGGUGGAAGAAGACCUGAGCCUGUUGGGCUAGUUGCUCCUUCACCAAAGCCAGUUGCUCCUUUGCCUUUGACUCUGCCUCAUGGGAGAAGGCGUCAACUUGGGCAAAGAAUUCACCAAGGUUGAGGGCCAGGCUCCCCCGCGCAUCCUUUUCGUUAGAGCUUCCCAUGACCCCUUUCUGGUAGCCCUUAAGGAUUUGUUGAAGGACCAGGGGAAGGCUCAGGGACGCUCUCACCCCCACCCUCGAACGCAAAGAGGCUCUGGGGGGGAUGAGGCGUUGGGAGGGUGGUCUCUGAGCGAGGUAGGGCGCCCAACAGAGGAAGAAUGGGAAAUGGCCGCUACCGCCACCUUGCGCUUCUUGAAGACAAGGUCUUCCGUGGUGUCUGCCUCAUCAUUAGACACAAUCUCCACCACCCGCUUAAGGGGGGCUGGAGUAGAAGAAGCCCCAACAGCAGCUAGAGGCACGACGUCAAGAGGGGCUGGAGUGGGAGAAGCCCCAGGUGCAGCCAAAGGCACAACGUUGAGAGGGGUUGAAGGGGCGGGAGAAGGUGCAACUAGUGCGAUGUUUGAAGCAAGGGUUAAGGCACCUGCAUCAGUGGCCGCCUCCUCACAAAGGACUAGGACCUCCGCCAGCUUUGCUCGCUUCUCUUCGUUUAGCACCAUGCCUACACCCAAAACAAGGAGAGAAGAGAACUUGGCAAGGCAAGGUUAAGCAAGAAAUCAGCACAGGCAUAAGCAAGAAUAAAGCAUAAUAGAGUUAAGAGAAAGGUCACGAGCAAAUGCCUAUACCGAUGUAGCCAGCGAGUCCUGUUGUGUUGUACUCAUCCUUGAUGAGCUCAGCAGUGUUGAAGAUUGCCCCAAGGCUAGCUAGCUCUUGGCAUACCUCACGAUCAGCAGAGGAUAGCUCAUCGAGGGUCUUGGCCUUCUUUAGGGUCAAUUUCCCCACCCAGUACAAGGGGAAUCCAUUCAGAGAGGUGCGAUCGUGCUCAGAGCAGCACCCCUUGAAGAAUUUCCCCUUGAAACCCUUGUAAGAUUGCUGGAACAGGGUGAGGAUGACUCUUCUUGUCACCCCGCUGAAGCUUACCCAAAGGUUCUUCCCAGGGUUUUUGGCCUCGAAGAAGUGAAGAAAAACAUCUACAGUGGGUGGAUGACCAAAAUGGUUGCAGAGGAUGGAGAAGGCCCUCACAAAGGCCCAGCUAUUGGGAUGCAGCUGGGUAAGGGCAACGUUUACUUCGGUCAACAGCUCCCUUUCGAAGCUGGUAAAGGGAAGACGCUGCCUAAUACACUUAAAGACCGUUGUUUGAAGAAGAAGAAGGGUUAUCCCUCGUUGGCACGGUUGUCUACGCACACGGGUUCGCCCUCCGCGCAGGGGCGAACCGAGAUAUAGGCGUCGCUAUCUCUCCCAAACGCCCUAACCAGGAACUCGGGCUCGCUGUCUAGGUGUGCCCUCCAGUCCGCGAUGGAGGUGAGGGAGGAGGUUUCGGCAAGAAGUUCAGCAGACGCCCAGGGGUACAUGAUCUCUUAGUUGACGCUGGGGGGAGGGUUGGAAGUGAUCUUCGUUCGUGCCAUGACGAAGGAAGCUAAAAAAAUGCAAGGAAAGAAAAAGGUGAGGGGUCAGCAAAGGGGGCUACGGUGAUAAACGGAAGAAAAACCCAGAAAAACCCCACGCUCGCAGAAAGCCCAGAAAAUAGAGGAAUGAAGAAUGAAUGCAGAGGAAAACCUAAACGCGGAAGUUUAAAAAGGCCCAGGCAGUUAUCAAUGCGCGAAAUCAUAAAUAAAGAGCAACCAAUGGAGAAAAAUAGUACCUUUGAUUGUUGAUGAGCGAAAGUCCUGAUUUUUGUGAAGGUAGGAAACCAGAGUGUUCGAAGAGGAAGACAAAGAGUGCAAUGGAAAGUUGCAAGUGAUGGAACAGUGCAUGAAGCGCGCAUUUUUGAAACUCUUAACGUAAGCUGGGAAAACGUAAGCAACGUUGAGUCUCAACCACUUGAUUAAGACAUGUGUGCGCUGAUUAAAGCAAAAACAGGAAAACAUCACUUCGGUGCACUGUACACGUCCCGUCACGUGAAGCCACGUAGGUCAGCAGGGCGAGGCCAUAGUCUCUUCGCUGAACAAGUUAAGAGCUCGAGACUGGGAGGCUUGUGUACUGACCAGUCCUUGGACUUGGGUGUUGACCAAAGUCAUGAUGGAGCCCCGAAGGCUGGGUCCACUAGGAGCCUGGCAGGACAGGACAGAGUCUCAGUAAGCUCACGGAUAAGGGCAGUCGAGGAGGAGGCGACAUCAAGGUAGGGCGUGGAGGCCUCGGGCCUCGGUAACCCAACAGUAAAGAUGGACAGAGGAAGGUGGUUUCCAAGCCACACUCCAGUUAUCAGUAAAGGGAGAGGCCUAAAUCACCAAGCGCCCAUGCAUGGGGUGUGGACGACACAAUGGGGUGUGCCACAAUCAAAGAGCCACUGGGAAAGAGACGACUCAUAAGGGUCACGUCCCAGGGGUGAUCUACAUGCAUGGCACGUGAAUAAGGCAAGGAACUCCCAAAGUGGCUGACCCAGAGAUUGGGGGCAUGAGUUGGCACCCAAGUGGUCAUUCCACGCCAGUUGCACUUCGAUAGGGGAGUCUUACGCACUAGAUAGCCCUCAGAGCGGGCGUUAGUGACGCUAAGGCGCACCUACAGUAAUCCUAAGUUACAGUUAGAAAAGGGAGGAAACACUAAAGAAUAUAUAAAGGGUAACAACCAACAGAAUAAGGUACGCAUUUUUUCUAAGUGUAAGUAACACAUAGACAGUUACACAGAGCUCUGGGAGUUGAGAAUUUUUGGUGUUUCUUUGCCCGGUGUUUGACUUGAGCGUCGGAGUGCAAACGGCCGCGAGGGCGCCUGUUGUCUCUUUGUUUUCAGGUGAUCCAAGAGGGGGGAAAGCACCGUGAGAAGGGGUGGGAGUUAUGGACGCGAAGGUUAUUGCGAGUUCACGAAGACGUUGGGCUAACUGGCGGGAACAAAAUUUAAAUAUGAAAACAACUUAAUUCACUAAACAACAAAUUAAAUUAGAAACUUAUGAUGCUUCCAAAUUCAAAUAUAGCAAAAUAUAGAUACAUUCAACUUUCAGGGUCAAAUCAAAACAAUAAAAUGACAAUUCAUCAAGGAAUUUCUUCUCAUAUUCUCACGGGUAAGUUUUUCUCUCUAUUUUCGCUGAAUCAUAACAAAUCAUAGUUUAUUUUCAUUUCAUCUUCAUAUUACAAACAUAUUAGAAACAUGAAUCUUGAGGUUUUUUCCAAGGUUAUAAUGAGGUUGGACUUCCAAAUAUUGGUUUUUCAAAUAAUAAAAUGCACAUCUUAAAGAAGAAGAAUAUACUUAUAAUCCAAUUAUAGCACAUGUGUUAUCUAAUCACCAUUUUCUUUUGACUUCACGGUUUUCCUCAUUUUCUUUUUACUUAUUCUUGAUUGAAUUUUCUUUCUCUUUUUUUUCAUCAAUAGGAAUAAUUUUUUCCUUUUUCAACUAUUUUGAACUUUCAGUGAUUAGAACUAACCAUUCCAUUUUCUAUAUAUAUUGAAUAUAUGUUGUCCCUCUUAAGGAUAGGAAAAUAUAUCAUUAAAGGUUUAGGGUGCAAUAGUAAAAAAAAUUCUUGGCUAAAAGGGAAUAUAGAAAAAAUUGAAUUCUAAUAAGAUAAAGGUUGGCUAUUUGGCACUGGGUUCCUAAUUCACACAAAUGCCGCAAUCAUCUUCAUGCUCUUUUUUUAUGUAAGAAAAUAUAAAAAUUAAGCAACCAAAAAUAUCAAUUCAUCAGUAAAAAUCUCAAAAUUGUUUAAGGUCCACAGACUCACUUAGUUUAAUUGGUCUCAUUCCUUAUUGUUUUGUCAUUCUGUGUUCUAAUAAAUCAUCCAGUUAAAUUUUCAUGUAUCACAAUUUCAACUACAUUUGAAUAGGGAUUCAAUCAUACCUUAUUUUCUAACAUGUGUCUAAUAUAUCUCACUAUUUAAUAUUUAAACACGACGUCCUUUUUUCAACAAUUCAAACUUAAUAUUGCAGUUUUUUUUUAUUUGAGAAAAAUAAACUCGAAAACUACUCAACAAUUAAAUUAAAACUGAAUUUGAUUCAAGAAAAAUAAUUCAAAACAUAAAAAUAACAAAAUAAGAAAAGAAAAUUAUUCAAGAAUACUAAUACAAUCCAUUUAAAGCAAUAAGAAAAUAAACUAACAAAAUGAGCAAAUAAGCAAAUAAAAGAAACAAACAAAUAAAGCAUAAUUUUAAAAAAAAUUGAAAAGAAAAUAAAACUAGAAAAAUAAAAACAUAUUUUUUCUCAAUUCUCCCUUCAAAAGAAGUCAUCCAACUCUAUGUUAAAGUCUUCAUCUACAGGUGCAAAUGGCCUUGCUUCGUUUGUUGAAUCUGCCCCUUGAAUAAUAGAACCUGUCCCCAGGCCAAUAUACACAAGCUUCAAAUUGAUUUGGAGGCAUAUAGGGGUUGAGUUGCCUUGAAUUUCUCACUUAUGGACCGUUAAACUUGCUCAAGCAACUAUAUGUCUUGCUCAAGCGAGGUUGUAUAAGUGGAAUCUCGCCUAAGCAAGAUUUAUCUUGCUUGGGAGAGAUUUCUCCAAAGAAUCUUUUUUUAACUUGCCCAAGCGAGAUUUACUACGCCUGGGCAAGAUUCCCUGCAAGAAAUCUCCAAUUUACGUCGUCAAACUCGCCUAAGCGAAAUGUAUCUCGCUUGGGCGAGAUGACUCUAGAGAGCACCCCUUGUUUGUCCUUCUAACUCCAGAUGACAUUCAAUUCCUAAACUUGAUGAUAUGCUUGUUGAAUUGCAUGGGUCCAUAAUAUUUUCUUAAAUUGAUCUCAAAAGUGGAUAUCACCAAAUAAUAAUCAAGGAGGGUGAUGAGUGGAAAACUGCUUUUAAGACCAAAUUUGGAUUAUAUGAGUGGUUAGUGAUGCCUUUUGGACUUACUAAUGCACCUAGAACUUUCAUGAGGCUUAUGAAUUAUGUUCUUAAGGAUUGCAUAGGUAAAUAUGUAGUAGUUUAUUUUGAUGAUAUAUUAGUAUGCAGUUAAAGCCUAGAGUCCCACCUAGGUCACCUUAGGGAGGUUCUUUUAGUGCUUAGGAGAAAUAGUUUGUUUGCUAAUAUAGAUAAGUGCACUUUUUGUGUAGAUAAUGUAGUGUUUUUAGGUUUUAUAGUAAACAAAAUUGGGGUACAUGUUGACCCCGAGAAAAUAAAAGCCAUCCAAGAGUGGUCAACCCCAUGUUGAUUUUUCUCGACAAGUAUACCGAAUCAACUGUAAUAUAGUACUCUUUAAAGUAUGAAUGUCGAACCCACAAGGAACAAAUCUCAUUAAUAAGUUCUACUAUAAAACUCAUCAAGUGUAGAAAAUAAUUGUGAAAACUUGUUCAUAACCAAAUUAAAGAUUUCACAAGAAGUACUCAAAGAUUUAAGAUUUGAUUCAAGACGUAACAAAACUAACUUAUCAAAUAUAGAUAAAGAUACUUGAGAUUGAAUUGUGUCUAUCUCAAUCAUUUGUAUUUUGGAAUAAUACAAUAUAUAACACUCAAAACUACUUAUUCUUGAUGCUUAAUUUAAAGUCAUUCACCUUGAUUCCUCACAGAUGAAAUUCAAAAGAUAAUUUCUCUAAUGCUGAUUCCUAGAUAUCUAACAAAUCAUCCAACUUUAUGAAAAGAAUUAUGAUGCAAUUAAUAACUUGAAAUCUAUUCCUAGCAUUACAAGUUAUCAAGUAUUUUUGUCUAUUUCAGAUCCUUAAAGGUACUUUCCAGUUAAAUUUAAGGAUCAAAAUGAAGACUCCAUUGAUAAGAUAGAAUCAAACAAUAAGCAUGAAACGAAAAUACCAAGAACAAGUAGAAAAGAGAAUAUUAUAUAUAUAUAUAUAUAUAUAUAUAUAUAUAUAAAUCACCAAGAAUACAUUUGAUCAAAGUAGAUUACAUUCAAUCCCAAGUUAGAAAGCACUUAGCCACUCAUGACAGCUCCUCCAAUCUUCAUUCUUGAUCUGGAUUGCAUAAGAAGGGUUGAUCUGAGCAAGUUCUUCUCCUAAGAACAAAGGUUUUCUUCUCUUUCUCUCAUUAACUUCUCUCUAAAACUCACUUUUUUUCCCACUGCCUCUUUUUUCACUUUGUUCCAAAAUUUGUAUAUUGAAGUUUAGCUCAAGCAAUCUAAUUUAGCUUAAGCUAGAGUUUUAGGUGCAUUUUUAGCUUGAGCUAGCAAUUCUAGCCUGAGCUAGAUUAAUACUGCACCUUUAAUCAAAUAUGGACAGCUUUAGCUUGAGCUAAAUCCUCUAGUUUGAGCUAAAUCUUCUAGUUUGAGCUAAAUCUUCUAGCUUGGGCUAAAUCUUCUAGCUUGAGCUAAAUCUUCUUGUGAUCUAAUUAAGUUUUAAUUUUCUUUCUUUCAAUGCUUCAUAUUCAUCUGCAAUUUACACAAAAAUUGAGAUUAAAUUUCUUCAUUUUUGUUUCUUGGUUCAAAAUAUAUAAUCAGAUUCAAUAAUUCUCAGAUUAGGGUAAUUUUCUUACAUUAAGCAACAAUUAAGUUCCAAAGUGUUCAAUUUUCUCAAUCAUAAAAACUACACAUUGACAUUUAUCAAUUUCCCCCCAACCUAGAAUUUUACUUGUCCUCAAGCAAAGUAAUUGAAUCCCAAAAAAUAUGAGUUCAUUCUUCCCCAAAAUCCUUAGAAAUCAAAUCUAUAGUUCAAUAUCAUAACAACUUCAUGGAAAGAGCACAAGAUAAUUGAUCCUGCCGGCAACUCGAACGUGGAGGAAUCGCUUCGUAGCACUCUUUGUCCCGUCUACGCGACUGCGUUUUCUACAGGAUCACCCUCAGAACCUUCUCUUGGACCUCCAAACGUGACCUGCAAACACACAGACGGCGCCUCUAGCGGCCGUUUGCACUCCGACGAUCAAGUUAGUCCACAGAACCACCAAAGACUAGAAAACUAGUAGUGUGUGUGAAAAACUCUUGCUCUCUGUUUUUCGUGUCUCCCACUCUCACCCUGAUUCUCUCUUUUAUCUCUCUUUCCCUGCUUCUGGGCAUAACAGAAUUCUGUUAUGCUUUUCUGGCAUGUGUCAGAACCCUGUUAUGCUUUUCAGAGAAAGUGUACCUUCAGAAUCAGUAGUGGGAGCGUGAGAGUCUGUGCAUGUCUGCGCUUGGCUGCGCCUGUCUGUACCUUUAGUGGUACGGAGUGCUCUUUUGUCUGGACCGCACCCCUUUCAGAGGAUGACACGUGGAGGCCUGCAACUCACAUCUAACCACACACGUGUCAGUUCUUGGAAGGGCUCUAGCGCUUCUCUUUGUGUGCCUAAGUUACGCCCUUGCGGAGUAACGAAGGAUAUUUCUCUCAACUGUGAAGUGUGUACUCUCAGGAGAACGUCAGGUGUGGCUGGUCUAGGCACACUCACCAAUCGUUGCUCUCUGCGUAUACAACUUACCCUUCACAGUGUCACGCACGUAAUGGGUUGAGGGAAUCACCAGUCACUGACUGGUUUACUAGUUCCCUCAGGCCACUCUCGUGCAUGAUUCCUUGGGAUGUGCUCAUGCGAGGUCCAUGCGUAACGCUCUCGCUGGGAACCUCAGUCCCAGUUUAACUGCGUGUAACACGAGACCCCGAUGACUAUGCACCGAAGACUGAUCAGUGCUCUAUCUCUCGCGUUCUGCUCCCAGGCGUUAGUCUGAGAACUGACCUGCUAGUGGUCUCUUGGGUACUGACCACCGAUCACCGUUCUGGAUGAUCUGUCCCCUGACCUCUAUGUCGCCUGAUCUGUCGGUGGUCGCUUGGUUACGGACCCCCCGAUCACCACUCUCGGCGAUCGCCUCCCUUGCCUCUCUGUCACCUGGUCCACGUGUCACCCUGUGAGUGGCCCACGUGGUUCUCUACUGCUGACGUCAUCUGCAACCGAUGACCGAUCAGAUCACAAGCCCCCCAGUCUCGAGUCGUGAACUAGUUCUCGGCGAAGAGACUAAGUGGUCGUGCCUUUGGUCCACGUGGCAAGUGGGACCGCAUCACGUGCCACCUCACGUGCUACUUCUUAACGUUUGGACUUCCUUCCUUAAUCUCGCGACACGUGGCCCCAUCGACGGCCAGCGUGGUGUGUCGCUAGCGCUUCUCCUAUUCAAAUUGGCGCGCCCUUUCACUGUUCCUUCAUCUUCUUCAUUCAACUCCCAGACUCUCUGCGAACUUCUCCUCUGCGCACCCAUCUUUCUUCAAAUUCUCUGCUUCCCAAUCUCUUGCGAUCAUCCAAAGGUAUGGUUUUUCUUCUCCUUGGCCCCUUUUUGGUCAUCUUUACCGAUUGCAUUUAUCAUUCUGGCUAUCAUGCAUUCAUCUUCUCUAUUUCCCUCUCUCGAACCUGCGCUAGGGUUUUUUCACGUUCUCGCUUUGACUUCUGCUUUUUCUUCUUCCUCUCUUCACCUGGGCAUCUCUUUCUCCUUUCCCCCCUCUGUUUUCACCGAAACAUUCAUCAUUCCCUCUUCUUCCAUUCAUUCUGACUUUUUCGUUUUUCCUCCAUUUGCAGCUAUCUCAUGAUGGCUCGCUUGAAACAAACUGCGCGCAUCAUUGCCCCAUCCUCUGGUGCACAGCCUUCCGCGAGUGCGCCAGCUCCACCACCGCCUGUGGCUACCUCCUACCACGACAAUGCCAGAGUCUACGAAUGGGCUCCCCUGGCACUGCUCGCUGAAACCUCCACCCUGCUGCCCAAGGGUCAUCUCACAUCCCUGCUAAGUCGCAACCCCGAUGAGCCUUCCUGCUCCAUCGACAGGGAGAAUGACUUCAACAUCCAAAUCCGCAUUCCUCCUCGAGGAAUGCCUAUCUGCGCGGAUGACAGGGCCACCAAUGGGGUGCCCUUUGUCUUCGUCUACUCCGCUAUUUUCAAGAGGUUGAAGCUGCGCCUCCCUUUCACUUUCUUCGAAAAGGAGCUGAUGAUGGAGUUAAACGUCGCGCCUUGCCAACUCCAUCCAAAUGCCUGGGCCUUCAUCCGGGCAUUUCAGAUCCUCUGCAGCUAUUUCGGGCACAACGCCUCCGUGGACGUGUUCCUCUACUUCUUCGAAGCGAAGAACCCUGGGGACAGGUCCUGGGUCAGCCUGAACGGGGUUGCUGGACGGGUGCUCCUGGGCCUGUACCAGCAAUCCUUCAAAGAUUGGAAGGGCAGAUUCUACAUGAUAUCUGCUACCCCUCAAAGUCCAAAUCUGCUCGAGGGGUACCCCCUCUACUGGGUUCCUGGAGUUGAAUUCAAGAAAUCCAGGGACCUCGAAGCUGUGGCCCCCUAUGAGCGCGAGCUGUGCGGGCUGCUCCUGGGGGCCAAGUACAGUUCUGCUCGUCUCAUCAAAGACGAGUUCGACGUGGUGGCCUUAAAAAAGUAUAUAGGUAGCUCUCCUUU